AGCAGCAAACUCUCCACCUCGCGGACGUCCACUUCCAGGUUUGGAAUUCUAUUAAUUUCACUAUUUUUCUUCCAAACCUAAAUAGGAACUGCCGGUUCUCUGUGGCCUUUUUUUCCCUUUGCCCCAAAUCAUUAUCUAUCAAAAACCAACCCUGCCCAUCUUCCUCCCCCCUCUUCAACGUAAAAUUUUUAUGUGUUUUCAUUACAACAAUGAGUUGUAGUUGAUGACACUAUAUGAACACUCUCUUCUACUAUUUAGUCUUUCGAUACAACAAGUUAGUUGUAAUUGAUGACCCUAUACAAACACUUUCUUCUCCUAUUUUGAGUUACCUUUUAAAACUUUUCAUCUUCUGCAUUGCAAAUUUGGUAGGGCGCACUCCUCGAAUUGAUGGAAAGGAGUUCUUUCGUCAAGCCAGGUUGGUGUAAUUAUUGCAAUUCCAAUACACUUUGAUUGAUUUGUUGCAAUAGUAAUGAGGCCCUUCAUGGACUGAUUUGAAUUUGCUGCAAUUUAGGAGUCGCCUGUCAUAUGAGCAGUUCAGUGCAUUUCUGGCUAACAUCAAGGAACUAAAUGCUCAUAAGCAAACCCGAGAGGUAAAACACUAGCGAAUUGUUUGAUUGAAUGAUUAUUUGAUGCAACUAAACAUGUACCAGACCCAUUGAUUACCAAAUUAGUGAAUGGUUUGUAUAUAUUGUUUUCCAGGAAACUCUAAGGAAAGCGGAAGAGAUAUUUGGGACUGAUAACAAAGAUCUUUAUUUAUCAUUCCAAGGAUUGCUUAACCGCAACAUACACUAGAAUUCAAAGCUUAGUUGCUGGGUACUUAUAAUAAUCGGUAUGUCCAACCUCUCUCUCUCUCUCUCUGCUUUCAUAUAUGUGUUGUCGCAUGCCAGCCAUCUUUGCCCAAAAUUUACAUUAUUGUUAUGAGUCAUGUGAGAAUGGCAUACCCCUCAUGCCUUGAAUUGACCUGAGAAACUGGAAAUUGAAGGUGCAAGGAUGGUCAGGAGGCCUUUUUAUAUGGGAUAAUAGCAAAAAACAAUUCUCUUUGAUUUUUAUAAUUUGUGAAAUCCAUAAUUGACUGCAUCGGAUGGGUGUUAUGCCUUUUGGAGUUUUCAUAAUUUUAAAAACAUUUCACCUAUGUUUAUCCUUCUGAAUUACCCCGAAUGUUGAGUUCAUCAUCCCUGUCAAUAGUACUGAACAAUCAAGUUCUUUUUGACAGGUUGUGCAAAAGUUGUUCGCAGAUCCUCUUUCUGUGUGUUAGGCUGUGGAUUGAGCUUGUUCUCAGCUGCUUUGGUCCUUUGGAUGGAAGGGCCAUGGCUCGUUCUCCGUGGCAUAUCAUUUUUUGAGAUGUAAUCAACAUCAAGUUGAGUUUCAGCAAACUAGAGUAGGGUUUUGUAGGUUUCACAAUGUCAUAGAAUGCAGGUAUGCUGUGUAAAUAAUUGCUUUAUUUUUCAGUCUACCUGCUUGAUUGUUUAAGAUGGAACUAAAUUGACCUUACCUUUCUGCUUUUGUCAAAUGAACCUUGGGACUUCUCCUCAAUGCAUCUCUCCCUCUUUCUCUCUCUUACACACACAUAAAUGUAUGCAUGUGGAUUAACGCUAACUUUGCGAACAUCCGGUAGCACUCAACAAUGUUGAGGAGCAUAUUUACAUGUUAUCACACAUGAUAAUAGUGAAACUCCCUAUUUAGUUUUAGACCACCUAUAGACGAGAUUAGAUUUUUUUUUUUUUUUUUUUUAUAAAAAAAAAUUGCAAUAUCUAUGUAGUUUCUGUGGGUUUUUUUUAAAUAUAUUAAUUAGUUCAUCUACUAUGAUAAACAAAAUAAAUAUUUCAUCUACCGUGCAAGUUGAGUCUCUGUUUUGUUCAAUAUAUAUGUAUAUAUAUUGAAUAGUUCGCAACUGUCGACUGGAAUGAUGAUCAGUGUAGAACAUAUGGUCCCUAAUCAAUGUGUACAGAAACCAGGAAAGAAUCUUCUAUGUUUUUCUGUCUCUUUGAACAGCUGUAGUGACCUUUGGAUUAUAUCUGAUUUCUCAAGAACAUAGCAUCUUACUUACACUCACAUAUUUUUUGUCUGCCGUGCAUAUUGUGUUAUUUGCAAUCAGAUUUGAAUGGUUCUCUCAAAUUCAUAUUUUACAAGCAUUGUGAUAAGUGAAUGUUAAUUUUUGUCUUGCUCGAGUUAAUCUUAUGAUCCGGGAUUUACGAGAUAUCUUUUUCCCAUCUGCAUUCAGAAGUAUUUUUGGAUUUGAAACAAAAUAUCAGAAAUUACAUGGGAGAUGAAAAUCAAGCCUACUUGCUCUACCUGUUGGCUUCAACAAUAUCUUGUCAUUGAAUUGAUUUCAAAUUUUCUUCCCGACCAAAAAACAAAGAAGAUUUCAAAUUUGACCAAAGUACAUGUGUAUUCCUAUUGAUUGACUGCAAACCAAGCCUCCUCUCUUUUCAUAUCUUCUGGUUUGAAACAUAUCUUUCAAAAGAAUAUGAAGAAGAAGAAAAUGUGGUGGCAUUUGUACGAAGGAGGCCAUGCUUAGCCUGGAAGAGGAUUGGCCUGUUUGGUAAAGUCUGGACAAAUCUGUGCAGGUGGAUCUGGACUUAGCAAAUAGAAACAAAAUGGAACCAAGAAUAAAUCUUGAAUGGUAAAUGAUGGGAAACACAAAAAAAUGCUGUGGUGAUCUUAUGCUCCAAAAAUCUGCCUAGAUUCAUUUUUCCAAGCAACAUGCACGUUGUACCAACAUGAACAUGUCAUGUUGGACGACCAGGGUCCAAUUGGCCAAUUAAAUCUCAUCUUUUUAGUUCUUGUUCUUUUUUUUUUUCUUUUUUUUUUUUUGGGUAACUCAAAUAUCUUCUGCAUGAUUGCUAAUCAUUGUUAAUAUCUUAAUAAUCCCAUCUUCUUUUGAUAGAAGUGGUACAUGAUUGCUAAUUAAUCUUCUUUCGAUUUUACUAAGAUGGAUCAUAAAGUUAAUCAUCUUUAGAUGCCUCGUUGGCCCAACUUAUAAGAUAGCUUUUUGAAAACUGAAGAUAAGAUAGCUUUUAAGUUAUAGCUUUCUCUUUAAUUUGUAAGAGUUGUGCUACACAAACAAUAAUAAAUAAAUAAAACAGUUGGAUCCAACAGGUCUUAGGUUCGUGGAGUAGCACAUAUCGAAUCCACGUAUAUUAUCAAAAGAAAAAAAAAACACAUACAAAUUUGGAUAUGUACCAUUACCAUAAUAAAAUAAGGGGUUGGCUUAAGAUCAUAUAUAUCUGUGAGAUUUUAGACAAUACUGUAUUGGAUUUCAUUCUCUCUUUGACAAGGUGAAAAGAACAGAAGUGAAGAACAGUUUUUCACAUGCAAGUGGGUUUUAGGGGAGAGGCUAUAGAUGGCUGGCUGGUUGAUGGGAUGGGCAGGUUUACCAGAGGACCUGAUGCUAUGUACUAGCCUACAAAAUCUUCAAAUCUAUCUCAAUUUUUACUUUUUGUGGCAAAUAGCCUCUGCUAGAGAUAAAUUUUGCACACAUGAAGUGUACCCAAAAAUGCUCCCUUACCUUAGUUUCAAGAUAAAACAGGCCCCCAACUUGCGAGUCCUUUUGAAGGAUCAAAAUAUUUGAAUUGAUACUGGAGUUGGUAUGAAAGAAAGUAAAGCCAGGAAUCUUUCAAAGAUAACAAAAGAUUGUGCAAAACCACCUUAAGAAAUCAUUUUGAACCAGAUACCCUCCUUUUUUUUUAAAAACAGAACUCUCAGAAGAAUAAAACAGAAGAGAUAACAAAAGUGCUUCAUUUCUGCUCGCAUGACAUUCUUCGUUGCUAAAUUUCACCACCAUCACCCCUUGCCAAAUGUUUCAAAGUCGUGUAAUACAUGCAUGGAUGCUGUAAAAUCACUAUAUAUAAUGCGUAAUUAAUACGACGCAAAUCAUUUUUUUGAGACUCAUCUCACAAUAUCAUUUCAUGAUCCGAACUGCUAUUUUUUUGGUAGUGUUUUUAUCGAUUACUUCAAGUUGGUUUUGGCUGAUUUAUUACUACAUCAUAAAAUUAUAUUGUGGGGUGAAUCUGAAAAGGUAGUUACGUUCCUAUUAAGUUAUUCAUGGCUUUGCUCAACCAAAAAAAGUUAUACAUGGCGUGUGUCAUUUGAAACUUUUUGGAAUUUCGAUUCCUUUCUGUAAAUCUUUUCUUUCUUUCUUAUUAGUUUAUAGGUUAGUUUCCAAGUUCCAACAACAUAGGAAGAAAUUAACUUAUCAUAAAUAAUUUGAAUAUGGUACUCGUGAGCUGGUAAGUUAGUCAAUUCAGAAGAAACUACAUGGUGUAUGGUUCAGAUUGGUUGGGUUCGAAGGAUUAAUUUUGAUAUAUUAUUUCUAUUUUGGCUUUUACAAUUAAAAAACCAAUCCAAUCCAAUAAAAAAUCAUAAGAAUCAAUCCAAUCAAAACUAAUUCACUUUGAGAUCCUGAGCUUCUGUAUUUAACGAUCAUGCAUUUUAUUACAUCUCGACUGUUUCAAUAAUCUAACGAUUUAAAAUAUGACAAGUGAACGGCUAAAUUAACAUUGUUACGUUUAUAUAAAAUUUUGGCUUUUACAAUUAAAAAACCAAUUCAAUCCAAUCAAAAAAUCAUAAGAAUCAAUCCAAUCAAAAGAAUCAAAAGAAUCAAUCCAAUUAAAACUCAUCUACUUUGAACACAGAGAAGACAAGAGAAGGUGGGUGACGAGCAUUUGUGGCUGAAAAUGAUGAGAUCGUAAAUAUCAUGCAAUGUCUAUUCUCUACCAAAAACUAAGACACUUCUGGAACACAUAAUUUGUAUUAGCAUUGGUAGGAUUGGCUGCACUUUUCAUUUUUAAAACCUUAAACCAAUAAUUCCUCCAAUCCAAUGUGGACCUUGGCGUUGUUGCACAGCCAAAAUGGGGCCAGCCAUCUUUAUAAAUUCCCCAGUACUUAGGAUAGGAGGUUGAUAUAUACAUAUAUAUAUAUAUGUAUAUAUAUUCCUUUCUCAUCGUUUACAUAAGGAGCAAUAAAUUUCUGCCAUUUUACAGGGGAUAAAUUCUAGAAAACCUAGUCGCGUACGUAUUCACAUGCAAAAUGCUAAAGAAUUGUUUACCCAAAACAAGAAAUAGAAAAACUAUAAGAACCUUCCCAUAAAUGUGAUGAGCAGAACAUGUUCCAUGCCCAUGCAUAUUAAAACUAAGCUGCUUCCUAACUACGGGGGGCAUUUGUCCUUGCGCACUACACAUAUCAACACAAACAUAUAUUCGUACUACCUAGCUAGAGAGGCAUUUGACAACGGAAUCUAACCUAGUGUAAAAUGCUCUUGACUUGCAGAUCAAUUAUCUCAAGUUCGAACUCCUAUAACACCUUGAUUGUAUAUGUGUGUGAGAGAAAACCCCCUCCCCCUUUCUAACUUUAGAAAAAAGAAAAAGAAAACUAGAGCCGGUAUAUUUGACAUUUAACCGACUCUGUAUUUGAUUAGACCAAUGUUUUUUACCGAAGUUUGAGGCAUAUAUGUUGUACUUGAUUUGUUGAAGCAAAAUCAUAUAAUACAAGCCCAUGUGUUAGAUUCUUGGCCUAUAUAGUAGGCUAGUACUUUUGGGUGUACAGGCUGCUUUAAACAGUAUAAGAAUGGUAUUCACAUGAGGCCCUCUAUUUUUCUCCUUUUCAGGUGUCUUCUUUCAACAUCCUUUUUUGACCCUUAUAAAACUAAUUUUUUUAAUUAUAUAUUAAUUAUUUUUGGUAAUCUUCUUAGUUUGUGUAAUUAAUUUUGUACAUGGCAUGCAUGCUAGUUUUUGUAAGAUUGUAUUUGAAAACUCUCUUAAACCGAGUUUCUAGAAAGAACAUAUACAAGCUCAACUAUUUAUUAACACACACUAGCUAGAAACUAGUCUUAACAAAAAUGCAUAUACAAACUUAAAUAGUUUAACAACAAAUAUUUACGCGUUGACAGCCUCACAAAGCACUACGCUGGAGUGUGACAGUUAGUUUAGCUAUUUUUGUCUAAGAAACACCACCCCAGUCAGUUGCCCGAAACAGUACGGGUAGAACAACUUGCCUAAAAGGCUAAAAGCCAGUGCACUAUCCCCAUUGCUAUAUAUACUCAAAGCCUCACUAACACAAAGUGCCACAUAACAUAACUGACCCACAACCAGUUCCUUAGCCCCCACCAGCUAGCUUUAGCUCUCUCUUGUCCAUGGAUUCCCUUCCUCAUCAAUUCUACAAUGACUAUUCACUCCCUUGUGGUUUUUACGGCUACCCAACUCCGGAAAUGGCCGGAGAAAAUGGUUGUGGUUCGGUUUUCGGUGGAGCAAUGUGGGGUGCUACUUGUGAAGAAAACUUGGUGCCAUUUUGUAAUGUUAGUAGUGCUGCAGUAAAUUUUGAUGUGAUGUCACCGGAAUCCGACAUCUCUUCGUCUGUUAUGGCGGCUUCGUUCCCGGAGCUACUUAAGAUUUCGGAGGAUCUUUCUGUGCCUGCUGCAGCUGCAUUUUCAGAUUAUGGGAAUAUGGGGUUGCAUGGACUUGCAGGGAUUAAUCAGAAUUUUGGUGGAGAAAUUAGCCAACCAUAUAUGUGUGAUCAGUUUGGGGAGGAAUGUUGUACUGGUCUCAACAUGUCAGAUAUUAAGCCGUUUGGCCUUGCUGGCCAAGAAAAUUGGGUAUGCUAUUUUUAGCUAGCUCAUCAUAUUGAGCUUUGCUUGCCAUUUCGUUUGAUCAUUUAGUGUAGGAUAUGCAAAGGUGUUGUGCAUAUGGUUAAUUAAUUUUCAUCAAGAUAUAUUGAUUGUUAAGUACAAUUUUGUGUGCAGGGAAUUCAAGGGAACCAGCAGGUGCCUACAAUUGAUCAAGAUCAGUCUAAUAUGAAGGUGGGAAGGUAUUCAGAAGAAGAAAGGAAAGAAAGGAUUGGCAGAUAUUUGAAGAAAAGAAACCAAAGGAACUUCAACAAAACCAUUAAGGUUUCUUUCUCAUCCGCGAUGUACUUGAACAAUUACAACCCUUUUGCUAUAGGUUAUCGUUUAUCAAUCUAAAUCUAUAAAAUACAGAUCGGUAACGUUCUCUUGUCACACUGUAUAUCUGAACUACACAUUUAAACGAAAAAACAAUAUAAUCAAUGAUUCAGGUUCAUAUUACCUUACAAUAUAACUAUCUUAUACUCUAUAGCAUCUACGAUGUUUUAGAGAUAUUCAUUAAUUGUGUUCAUUGGCUAUGUAUGUACAGUAUGCUUGUCGCAAAACCCUAGCUGAUAGAAGGGUCCGAGUUCGUGGGAGAUUUGCAAGGAACACUGAACUAAGUGAUCAAGAAAUAGCAGCAAAAAAGAUUGACAGCAAUCAUACUUGCGAAGAUCAGAGAUCAGAAAUGUGUUGUAGUAAUGAUGCCGUCCAGGUUUGUGCAUGCAGAUUAAUCCAGGCAUAAAUUAAAAUAUAAUCAUGUAAUUAUGAUAUCAUUUUGAUAUUAAUGAAUCAUGUACAUGGUUUAAUUUACAGAUGAUGAAAUAUGACGAGGACGACUACUGGCUGCAAGAGGCUAUGGGUCUAAUGUACUUACCUUAUGCCACCAGCUGAUCAUAUGGUGCAGUUUAAUUAGCUGCUUAAUUAACUAUAUAUUAUAUAGUCUAAUUGAGAUGUAAUGAGAGACGUACGUACGGCACGCUUGUAUUGUAAAAGUAUGAUCUAACAAGCUAGCUAAUUAGUCUUUUGUACUUGUAAAAUUAAUUGGUCCAUUGGUUUUAAGUUUAACUAGAUCAUGUUCUUCUAGAUACUCUUCUGUGCUACAAAUUAAGAUGAUUUUCAUCAUUAAUUUACCGCUUACAUAGAUAGUGGUGGCUUGGAGAAGCUUGGAAAUGCUGCGAUGAGAGAACCAUGCGUAUCUACGUAGCUAGGGUGUUUGUAAUUAGGAGGGUUUGUGAUUUGAUCAAAGAAUAAUUAAGGUUUCUUUUUAUCCUUCACCAUUUAUCUAAAAUGAUUCUUCGGUAUGAAUGCCCGACACACUCCAACAGGCUUCUAAUGAAAUGACAUAUGACAUCAACUUUCGUGUGGUGGUGUGGAUCUCACCGUCUUAAUCAAUUGAAAUGAGAAUCCAAUGGGAUGAUGACUUGCAGUUUGAUUAAUCUUAUUUUUUUAUUUUAUAACAAUGGAUAAAAAUCCAAAUUCCAGACCAUAAAAAACUCAAGAAAUGACUAGAUAAGGUUUGGCUCGAAGUAAUCAAACUCGCGUAAGGGGCAUACACACGGUCCUAAUCAACAGACCUAAUUUGUAUCUGCAUCAACAAUUUUCACUUGAGAAAAUACUGGUUGAAAUUUUGGGGGAGGUAAUAGACAUUGAUACGCAGGCACUACCGCUCCCAUAGUGAUGGUACUGCCAGCCAACAAAAUAUAUGUUGUUGGCAAUCUUACCUUGCUAUACACACAUUUGAAAACAAGUUACUUGAUUAAUGGAUCAAAGUUAAAGUCUAGUGAAAAAAACAGUUUUUGUUGCCACAAGUGUCUGACAAAACAACACUUCUCUCUGUGUACAUGUUAAGAGAUACGUUGCAAAGUCAUUCGUAUGUGAAAUUUUUUAAUAAUUAAGAAAUUUCGUAUAAUAAGAGUUGUGUGCAGACGACCAUGUUAAGAGAUAUGUUACAGACAAUCAUUCGUACGUGAAAUUUUCUAAUAAUUAAGAAAUUUCGUAUAAUAAGAGUUGUGUUACAGACAGUUCUCCGCACGUGAGAAAUUUCAUCGGGAUGCAUGCAUGCCACAUAUAUUAUCCUUUGGUAUAAUAUUGGCGAAGAAAGUUAGAAUACUAGCUAGGACUAGCUAGUACAUUUGCAAGGCCUAUAUUUAUUGCGGCCUCAACCACUUUGUUAUAACUAUCAACUUCACCUAGUUAGAGCUUUUAGUAGUGGUGUUAUUAUCAUGAUAAUAAUAUUCCCCACCAAAUCUCAAAAUGAAUUAUGAUCAUCACGUUCACUAUAUAGGGCUUCUAGUCAUUCACCUUUGGAUGUGUUAGUCAUAUAUAUAAUAUAUUCUCAUCGAUCUGGAAGCUAACAAGAAGAAAAUACAAAAUCAUGAUGGCCUGGCAUUUAGGUCAACUUGCCCAGCACCGCCGUAAAAGAUGAUUAAGUUGCAUUCUGAUGCAUGGAAAGUGAGGUCACAUAUUUGACGACAUAGUUUUUCAAUUAUUAUUAUUAACAUUGAUUUUAAUCAUGAAUGCCCCGAAAAUAAUUGUCCACAUUAUUGUGGUUCCAAGUUUUUAUCUCAUCCUUUUUUUCCAAAAUAUUUUGGUUCUUUCAUUUCAUCCUCGUGGCAAAUAAUUUUUUUUUUUUUUAAUACAAACGAUAGUCUAAACUGUAAGUACAUGUGGCAAUUUCUGAUACGACCUUAUACACUACUCGAAACCUACAUUGAAAAUUAGUGGGUCAACCCACAAGAUUAAAAUUACAGAUCAAAUUCGGAUCAACUUGCCACGACACGUCUAAUUAACAGUGGUUUAUGAUCAACCCCGUCAACCCGUGAAAUGACCUACUAGAAAUGUUUACUAUUUAAUUUUUAAUUUUCAUUAUUAAUAAUAGAUCUGUGGCUGCAUAUAUUGACAUUAUGUUCUAUUCCAUCAUGCACCUUAGGUUGUGAAUUUCAACCCACCCAAAUAAAAAUCCUUAGCCAAAGUCGAUCUCCUCAUCAUUCUAAUUCUCAUCUCGAUUUUGAAUUAUGUAUUCUCUUAAACAUGUGAAAUGUAUAAUAAUUUGUAAAACAAGUUGUGAAAUGAAUUUCAACCCACCCAAAUAAAAACCCUUUGCCAAAGUCGAUCUCCUCAUCAUUCUCAUCUCGAUUUUAAAUUAUGUAUCCUCUUAAACAUGUGAAAUGUGUAAUAAUUUGUUAAACAAGUUGUGAAAUGAAUUUCAACCCACCCAAAUAAAAACCCUUAGCCAAAGUCGAUCUUCUCAUCAUUCUAAUUCUCAUCUCAAUUUUGAAUUAUGUAUUCUCUUAAACAUGUGAAAUGUAUAAUAAUUUGUUAAACAAAUUGUGAAAUGGAUUUCAACCCACCUAAAUAAUUUGUUAACCUGCUAAACUUCUUUAAUUUUUCUGCCUUGCUCAGCCCUUAGACACCUUCUAAGAUCAUCCCACACACACCUCUUCAUACUUCAGGCUCUCUUUUACGCAGAGGAACAAGUGACAACUCUCACACGCUCAAAAAAACUUGCGCUAUCAAGUAAACAAACACAAAGUUUACUGUAACUCACCCCAAAAACCUUCUAUUAAUUCUCAUAAAACGUGCAGAGGACAACCCCAACUGCUAUGCUUUGCUGCACCACUCAGCAGCCAACACAUAAGCAUGCGGUUGACACCCCCAACCGUUAGGAUUUGCUGGCAGCACCAUAUUUUGCCAUCUCAUGCAUGCAACUUGCUCAAGUAACUACUCAUGGCCUUGCUGACGCCUCCCUACGUCUCAAAACUCGCCCAUGAAGUCUGGGGCCAUGCUGCACCUAUCAGUAACCCGCCACAACUGCUUGCACACGUGUCCCAUCUUGGAUAUAUAUUCUUAAAAAACAUAAGAAAAAAAGAAGGGAGGGGUAGGGCAGGGAUUAGUUACAGAGUUUUGAUUGUAUCUCUAAGCUUCUUCCCCUUUCUCAUAUCAAUAACUAAAAUGAAAAAAAGGAAGAAUAUCAACGCAUCCCCCAAAAAAAAAAAAAAAGAUUUAAAUUCUGUUCGAACCAGACAAAAAAAGUGAUUUAUUGGGUUAUCAAAUUAUACAUAUAUAGUAUGAUACAGUCAAAACAAGGUAUUAUAGUAAAAAAAGAAUGGAUACCUCGGAAACAAGUAAAGACUCAUCAACAGACUCUCUAUAAUUUUUAUUUUGAAUCUUGAAAACAAAGAUUUUGUACUUUUUGGACUCUUCUCGUUCUCUAUCUCUCCCCCUUACUCCAAAGUGGGCUGGAAAACAUUUUUCCAGCAAAAGAGAUCAGAAAAAUAACUAAAUUGAAAAGGUACCCUUCAUAGAUAUGGGUUGACUUGAAGUGAUGAAUGCUUUGGCCCCGGUAUCUAAAGGCAGGGAAGUCAAACAAGGGAAGGAAAGAGGAGGGCCAACUCCUUUGGAACUCUUUUUUCUUUUUCUUUGUUUUGUUUAGUUUUGUUAUUUAUUCAAUUUUUUUUAUAGAAACGAUAUUCUAAUUAGUUUAAUCUAAAUUACAGGGAGAGAAUUUCGAACUCAGAUAUAGAGUGGGAAGCACAUCUGUUCUAGUCAACAUGGCUAAACUCAUAUAUGUGUUUUCUAUUCAAUAUUAAUUAGGUAGAGUUUCCUAAUGAAUUUAAAGUCUAUGACAAGGCAACAGGAAAUAAAUUGAGUCUUUUCAGCUACUUUGUUCACACUUCACAUCUUUCUCUAAAAAAGGAAUUGGGGAUAAGUAAAAAGAUAGAAAUUUAAAAAAAAAAAAAAAAAGGGGAAAAUGGAGUGUCACAAGCAAGCAUUCUCACAAUCGUAAGAAAGCACUACUAUACUAGCCCCAAAGUCUCUGAAACAUUAUCAUGUUCAUAAGGUGACCCCAUUGCAAUAUGACUUUCACUGGGGCUUAAACCUAGUGACAAUUAAUAUAUUCACAUUAACAGUACUUUUUUGAGCAAACAAUUGGAUGCAAACAUGACUAUUUGGGUGGAAACAUGACCCUCCUUUUGGAGGAGUAGUGGUUCCCUUUAGGUGCAUUUUUAAUUUGUCAUCACAAAAUAUAUAUAACGUAAGUCUUGAGACUCUUCGAUUUUCAUCCAUUACUAAUUGAUUUUGAAUUGGACGUGGUAUCACAAUUUGCGUGUUUGGUUAGGCCACAAGUAUUUUAACACUCUAAUCGGAGCUGUAUUGUGCAUAGACAACAAUUACAUAUGUGAUAUAUGGAACUAUUGGAGUGUUUAUUUUCCUCAGAUGUGCCUAGCUCUGAAAAUGACAAGAGCAAAGAAAUCCAAAUCAAGCACUAUAAAUGAAAAUGGAUCAAAAUCAUUGCCUGCCCUUUGAAGGGGAGGAAAGGGUAAACAGUAGUGUUAGUGGGUUCAAGCCAAUAGAAUCAAUGGAAUCGAUAAAGCUAAACUACUAUUUCAGUGGGGUUCCCUGGAUCAAGUCCAGACUGAGUUCAAUCUCAUUAUCAUCGAGUAAGAUAUGUCGGUGAUCAUGGACAACCCAGCCAGCCACCAUGGAUGACCCACAAGACUGGCAAGAGGCCACAAUUGCAACAACUGCAAGCUCAGGCCCCAUGGGAUUGCUAGGGAACAAUGUAUUGGUUGACCAAAUUUGUGUGUGUGUGUGCGCUAGCUAAAACUACAGAAUCUGAGUUUGAAGACCACAAGUUCAUGCAUAAUUUGUGGAGGCAAAUGAUAGAAAUUACUGCAGGUGAUGAGGCUUUUCUGUUACUUCUUCUGGUGAGGCUACAUGAGGAGAAACACUUGUGUGAAACAGAGAUAGUACUAUUUUGCUAUUUCCAAUCAAUCAUGAAAUGAUAGAAAUAUAUACUUCAUGUGAUGCUUUUUCAUUGCUUCUUUCGGUGAGGCUGUGAUGCUACAUGAGAGCCUUGAAUUUUGUGUUUCAAGUUUCAACUGUGUUUAGUCAAGUAUGGAUUCCAAGUAUAUGAUUUUGAUGUCCCAAUUAUAGCAAAUGUAACAACAAAGUCCAGCACUAGAAGGUGGAAAAGAAAAUUGCACUAGGAUAUAUAUAUAUAUAUAUAUAUAUAUAUAUAAAAUAUAAGUAAUUAGCCAAUAAAUAUGCUCAUACUUAUUUAUUUUCAAGUGAUCAGCGCUAGUCUAUGAAAGAUGUCUAAUCUUGAUGAGUGCAUAUUUUCCAUGUUUGUCAUUAUUUUGUCCCCUCAAACCCCAACUUGCCUAAUUAUUACUGAGUGCACAGCCUCUUGGACUCUUAGAGGGUGUUGGUCUAGGAGGGAUUAAUGGGGUUUGAUGAAUAUGUGAAAUGUAAGGCUGUACAGUUCCUUGGAAAUUAAGUCAAUUUGAUAUAUUCUUCAAGUUUGUUUGGUUGGAGAAAUACCCUAAAAUUUUACGAGCAAUAUUAGGGAAGGGAGAUUCAAAUACACGAUUUUGGGUGCAGAAUUAACUACUCUUAACUACUUAAGCUACAAAUCCCGUGCUAAAUUUUACGUUCUUAAAAUAUGUAUGAUCGUGCCCUAAUGCAUAUAUAAUGGUUGGUUCCCCUUAUGGAUUGAAAAUAACAAUGAAUUGGGCAAAAUUGUGUGUGCGCUCUGUUUUAGACUGAUCAAGUCACUUGAUUCAAGUGAGUGAAGGCUUUGUUUCUAAAGCCUCAUGAUUAAUAUGGAGACUGUGUAUACGAGGAGGAUCUUAAUUAAUAACCACAUAUUAGAUUGUGCAUAUAACAAGGCUGUCAAAGGUGUACAUUUUUUUCAAUUUGCCAUCAAUAACAGCAAAAACUUCACCAAAAAGUGGCAGUUCAUUCCAAAAAAGUAAAUUACAAGAAUUUGUUAAACUAGCAGCUAACUGGACUUGGACAUGGGCUGAGUAGAGUUGGGCCACAUGUAAUCUUAAGGUCGCCUGAUGAUGAUUUGAGGCUUAAACCCACCUAGAUACAUCGGGCCUGAUAUUCUUGCUCAAAUUGUGACUUUGAUGUCAAUAUUGAAAAUUGAAAAUUGAAAUUCAUGCACAUCUUGUGAUGUAUAAUCCGUGUGUGUAUACAUAUCGAUGUAUACAUACAGUGGCGGAUUCAGAAACUUUUCUUUGCAGGGGCAAGGUAAAGGCUACAUGCCACUUUGCGCAGUUGCCCUUAGCCAACCUCUUCGAGGUAUUUUGUUGAACAUCUUGCCUCAUGAUAGCCAUAUAUAAUCAACGAGAACAUCGGGUAAUUUCAUUUACAGAGAGACAAUGGGGAGUAGGGGCAAUCGCGUUCUCCGGCCCUAAUGUGGAUCUACUAUAGUGUUAGUGUGGAGAUUUUGUGCUCCCACGACUUCCUUUUUCUGUCUCUUCAUGUGGAGAUGUAGUUGUGAUGUUCUUUUCACACUAUGUAUUAAAAUUUAUAAUUUUAGGGAGUGGGGCAGAUGAAGUGGGUCGUUUAACUAACAUAUUUGGUUUCGACAAUGAAAUAAAGAGAGCUCUAGUCAUCUCAUCUCAAAUUUAUCAGGGGUGGGGAUGCUCCUAUAAGAUUCCCGCAAUAGAAACCAACUACAUAUAUACACACACAAACUCACAUCAGAAAAGACAAUAAUGUUUUGCAUGCUUACUAAUAUUAAACAGGAUGAUUAAUUAGUUUAUAAACUGUCGGGUAAUAUAAUUAAUUAAUUAAUUUCUAGAUGCUGCAGCAGGUACAGAGCAUGGCAUAUAUAUAUAUAUCUGUAGUGAAUUUACUAUAAUAACCAGCAAACUUUUUUUUGUCAAUAAAUAAUAAUAAGAAAAACCAUCAUCUACAGCUUCAUUUCUAUUCUUUCCAUACGGCCAAAGCAUAAGGUGGUGGUGGUGAUUGAUGAUAUAUGUGUAGGAAUUGAGUAUGACAUGACUAGAAUAAAUCUCUCUCUCUCCCUUUUUUUUUUCCUUUUUCUUUUGAAAGAAAUGUUUUGAGGAGGUUUCUGCAGAGAAUAAUUAAAAAAUUUGAGACAAAAGACACGAACUGUAAAAGAAGCUAUUCCAAUAACAAUAUAGCAGAUAUUGAUAAAACUUUCCCAGUGACUUGAGCUAGACGAGAAGCUGAAAUAAUUUAGAGAGAAUAAUCAAAUUAAUACAAAGUAGUGUUGAAUAAAAAAGGGAAAUCAAGCAAGCAGCUCAUAGUAACAAUAUUAUAAUUAAUGUCAUAUAUACUUGCAAAAAGUAAUUAGUACGCAUUUACAAUAUGGUUAAUUCAUUAAUCAUCUCAUCAUCCCUGGUCAAGUAGAGAGACAGGGAGAUGCACUAUGAAAGUAAAAGGAAAAUUUAAAAAAGGUAAUAAUUAAAGAGGCAGACACUAAAGCAAGCCCAUGUACUAAUUACGUAUUAGAAAACAACAGAUAUAUAAUAAUUAAAGUGGUAGCUAGCAUGCAAAUUAAGGUAGGUAGCUAACAUGACCACAAAGACUCUCCCAUAUUGGCCUGAUCAACCACCAUGUCCAUGGUAAAAAAGGAUUUGGUGGUCUGAUGAUUAUGAUGAUGAGAAUGAUUAGGAGCCGUUGAUUUUUGAUCAGGUGAACAAGUGGUGGUGGUGGCAGCAUUGGAUGUUGUUGAUGAAGUUGAGAAUUGGCCCAUUCUCAUGUGCACCACCUCAGCUUGAGCAAUGGCCAAUUGGGUUUGGAGGGCAUCGAUUUGUUGUUGUAAAGAUGAGAUUGCUCCUACACAGCCAUACACCGGAUCCCUCACUCUGGCAUUUGCUUCGUACACCAUGGAGCUCACUGCAUCACUGCGCUGGUGCUCUGGUAAUUCCUAGUUAAUUAUAUCCAUUAAUUAUUAUGUCAAUGAAACUUAAUCUUGAUAAAGCACUUGAGAAAAUUAAGAAAAAAGAAGAAGAAGAAUUUGCUUUAAUUUUCUUGGGAAAAACAAAGUUGGCAAAAAGAAAAAUCAAAAGUUAUCUUAAUUAUGAGCAUCAAGAUGUAGAAGAAUUUCAACAAAAGACACCAACCAAAGUGGUGGAGCUAUUUUCCCACUCCAAAUGCAUCAUAAUCAACAAUUCUGUUUCAUAUAGAUAAAAUAAUAAUAAUAAUAAUUCUACUUCUCGAAACGUACGUAUAUAAUUUAUUCUCUUUUUAUUAUUGAUAUUUUCUCAAACUUAACCAUUUAACUUCAAUAAAAAUUUCGACCAGUACUCCGAGAUAGCCUCGUUAUGCAAUUAGUAGGGCCACCCAUCUUAUAUCUUACUUAGCUUGGUGCCUUUUAUAUGAUGUGUGAAUAUGAUGUUUGAUAUAGGUUCAUGCAUGGAAUAAGCUUUCCAAUCUUCCACAUUUUGAUUCCUCUCCUCAUCGAGGCUUUUGGUUUGGCAAUUGUCAACAUUAAUUGAUUGACAUCAACGUUGCCAACUUCAAAUUAAUAACGAGAGAUUAGAAAGGAAAAGAGAAAGAAAUUAAGCACGAGUAUUUAAAUAUAAAAAUAAAUAAUAAAUCUCUUUUACUGAAAACAAAAACAUGCAUCUAAUCUAACUAAUUGAAAGAAUUGGAAUUUACAAGAUGGCCAUCAUAUUAUUAUAUAUAUAUAUAUAUGUGUGUGUGUGUCAUUUUGAUGUCAUGAUGUUGUCAUAUUUAUUUUGCUAAAUUUAUUGAAAUAUUACAAAUAUUCAAGAACUUUUUAUUUGCUUACUUGGGAUCAACAUUUUUUUGGACUUAUAUAUAAACCCGCUUUGUCUUUAUAUCAACAUUGUAACCCAUAAUCAUAAAAGCAAAAGGCAAAGAGAAUGCAUAAGCAGACAUCCGACUUUCUUUUUCUAAGUGUUCAUAAAGGUUUCGAAUUUGAGGACCAAAACCUUAAUCAGCCUCAUUUCCAGAAGAAAAAAAGCAACUUAAUGAUCAUAAAAGUUGAAGAUAAACACGAGAUCAUAACUAAAUUCGUCGGAAAUCAUUCAAUUCCCUUAGCCUUUAUACUCGUGUAUACGUAACUUGAUCGAGAAGUAAUUAACAUUCCGAUUACAAUUAACCCCUGAUUUUCUUUCAUUUAAGUACAAAUGAAUCAGUAAUUUGAUAUACAUAAACCACUUUUUUAAAAGAAGGAUGAGCAAUAUUCUUAUCAACGACCGGUGGUCUUCAACUGUAUUUAACUACUAUAACUGAAGUAAAGGUGCGGGAAGAAAUGGAAGAACACUUUUCAGCUUUUUUGAAUAUUUUCUUCCUAAAAUAGUAACAAAGUAUCAAAUUCUUUCAAAAAGAUUCACAAAGGCAUAGCAAGAAUAGCAAAAGAACCCUAAAAAGUUUAUUCUGCCUAAUGAGGAACAAAAAAAAAAAAAAACAUACAUGUGUAGUUCUAUCCACAAUUUUUUGAACUCAAUAUUCAUUUGCAUGCAUAAAACUUUAGAAUUAGUGGGAAAAUGUAUAGAUGGCAUAUACAAUAAUGAUCCUUCUAGCAUGCAUGGCCUUCAUUUUGAGUGAAAGAAAAGAAAGAUGCAUGCUUUUUCCUCUUGCUAAUUACCUAUAAUGGGUUUCAUCAUUAUAAGAUCUCAACAAAAGAAAGCCAAAUAGAAUAUCAAAGUGCCUUGCAUCUUUUGGAGAUGGUAGCUAGAAGCAACCACCUCAUUAUACAAACUUAGUUAAUGUAUAGCUAACAACUCAAAGAUUUUUUUUCCUCCCAAAACCAAUAAACUAAUAACCUUUCUCUAUCUUAAGCUUUUUGGGUCUAUUUGCUAAAGUUUAAUCCUCAUAGUCACCCCACAUGCUACAACAGUUGUGAUGACAAGAACAGGAAAUUAAUCAAAAGGAAAUGUUGCAAUAUCCCUCUCAAGUCACUUAUUUUAUUUGAAGUUGACGGUCAACAAAAGAAGAAAUUAUAAAAUACUAUGAUAGUAUGGUUACGUGGUAUAUUUUGUACGCGUGUUAUAAUAUGAGUGGACGACAAUGUUUAUUUUCUCCUCUUUUAGGGAAUAGUAUCAAUAAAUAAAUCCACUUAUAUUAUAACAUGUGUACAAAAUGUACCACGUAAUUAUACUAACGUAGUAUUCUAUAAUCACUCCAAAAAAAGAAACAAGGAGUAGUCCUCAAAGCAUUCUCAAAUAAUGUUCAUAAAAGGAUAGAUUGGGGUAAGUAUAUGCUUGGUUAUUUGAGUAGUUGAAUAUUUGAGAAGUUUUUAACUACUCAAAGCCACAAUUCCGAUAUUUAUAUUUUGAAAAGGACUUAUAUAUAAAACAAUAUAAAUAUUAUUUCACAUGAUAAUUUAAUAUAUUAUAUUGCCAUAUUUUUAAUUAGACGGUGUAUUGAGCAUACUUUUAGGUAGACUGUCAUACUUUGAAUGCACGCUGUUUAUUUUGAAAAUUUGACAACAUAACAUGUGAUGUAUGUAUGUAGUAAUAACAGAACCCUAAAGAAUAAUGUUAGAGAGAGAGAGAGAGGUGCAUAGUGACAGAAAUGAACCUGUAGCAUCUUGUUGACAUUGCUGGCACCAAAAACCUUGUGCACACUGGCAAACUUCUGGGGCUCGUCAGCUGGAAAAUAAGGAGCAAACACGCAAUCCUGCGCACAUCUCCUUCUCAGAAGCUUGCAUGCUGCGCAUGGAGACAUAGCACCUUGUUUUCUACCACUCUCCUUCAUUUUCCCAGCUCUGUUUUUUGUUCUUUCAAAAGCUAAGAGCUUAAUUACAAUUUCAGGGAGCUAUUUACCGAAAAAUUGAAAGAAAAUAAGGUAUAUAAUUGGCCAAAUUUAAUUUGCAGGGUGUUGAGAGAGAGAGAGAGAGAGAGGGAGGUAAGGGGGCUUGAGGUGAAGGCGUGGUGGGGGUUAUAUAGACAAGUGCUAAGUGACAGAAAAUCUUUGGGGGGUCCCAUAAAAGACGAACCCCUAGAUUUUGUUGGACAAAACAUCGUUUUUGAUAAGAUCUUUAGCCCCACAACAAUAAUAUAUUUUGUCUCCCCCCCUCUUUUUUUUUCUUCUUCUUUUUCCCGCCUCGUAUAUAAAAGCUUUUAUAUAGAGAAUAUAAAUUCUUCACAUAUUAAUGUGGGAAACUCAUACUGGAUUCCAACAGAUUCAAUUUAUAUUUCAAAUUAAUAAAAGUAAUUAUAUUUUAAAACCAACUAAAUGAAACUUGAGUGAGGGUGAGGCUCGCUUUUAUAGGGGUACUCCAUAUUGUAUUUCAAUUAUCCGAACUAUCUAGUUUUUAAAUAUUUUUUUAAAAAUCAUCUAUGUAAAAAAUCAUUUGACUCCGAAAGAAUUUGACCACUCAAUUAGAUGGUUGUUAUUAAAGUCUUUUCUUGAAGCACCGUAUUCGUCUACUUUGUUAGUCCAAAUCAGAUGCGUUAAUAAUUUUCAAUUUGCAUGAUAUUUUUGAAUAAUGAUCUAUGAAUGAAUAUUUGAAAAAUAAACAAUUUGGAUUGUUGAAAAAAUUCUGAAAAAUAAUAGAUAGCUUCCAAAUAUUUAAAAUCAAUUUGAGUAAAAUAAUGCAUUGCUUAGUUCAUAUGAUCUUAAUCAAGUACAAAGGUACAUAUGAUAUACGGAGAGUUUUAAGUGAGGAAUUCCAAACCGAUCGAUUAACUAAUACUCUACUUUUAUGAUAUGAUGUAUAUGCGGUAUAUGCAUGUCAUGUCAACCUCCGAGUUCAAGGAAAUAUGAAACGAAAAAUUUGUUGCUACGUACUUGUCCAUGCCAGUUUUCAAUAAAAAAUUCUGGUCAUUUUUGUUACCUUGUAUAUGGAGGAAGUUACUUAGAGAGAGAGCCAUUGUUUUCAUACUAGCUUAUGCUUUGCUACACCAAUUUUAUCUUAUUGAUUUUUUUUUACUAUUUAACAACAAAGGACAUGCCACAAACCAACAACAAGAAGAAAAUUAUUACAAAAAGAAAUGAACAUCAUUUUAGAUGACGUUAGAUAACCAUGUUACUUAUUGCAUGAUUAAUUAUUAUGAUCAAAAUGGGAUUAUCAACUAACUCUUGUAGUGGUAUUCACUUUCUAAUGAUGUUGAAAAAUGUAGCAAGUUUGAGUCAUCGAGUUGGGGCAGUGUACCGGCACAGUCGAGUUCAAAUUCGCUCCUCGUAAAUUAAAGUAAUUUAGAAUAUUACUUUUGUGAAAUUUAAAAUUUUAAAAAUAAAAAUCUCUCAUCCCCUAUUGAUUGAAAAGAAAAACAUCGAGAACUGGAGUUUGAAAUAUUGUUUGUAUUUUGUUUUUUGAAUUGCAUAAUCACAUGUAAGUAGAUCGAUAUUGUGAGGGUCUUGACCACUUUAAACUUAAACUUACAUGUGGAUCACCUUAAGAGCAGUUCCACACAUUUGCCUUUCCAUGGUAAAAGGGGGCUUCGGCUGAAGGGAAAAAAAAAAAAAAAAACCCCCGCACCAAGCAGAUAUAGCUCGAGCAAGAGUGGGCUCCAUCAAAACCUGGCGAGCCCAAAGGUAAGACCAGCCUGUGCUGUUGCCUGAAGGCGCUGAUGCCAGCACUGACGUUAUACCAAAAUUUGUGUAAUAAGUGGGGAAAUCAAAAAAUAAAUUGCUAAAGCAAGCACUAUUCACAUGAACAGUACUGCCAUUGUUUGCCCUUACUCUUCGUCAUGGUAAAUGGGUGGAAGGGCAUCACCGGAUGCAUAAAACUUAGGCAUGGACACAGAGGAUCUUAACUUAAGGCAUGCGCUCUGUCACUAAAUACAUUAACUUCCUGGUUACUUAAGUGUGAUCUGAAUCUGAAAAUAUGUAUGGUUCCUCUCUAGAAAUAGUACUCUCAACCUUGAAGACAGAAAAACCAGUGGGAAGCUAGGGCUUAUGGUUGGUUUGGUCAUUAAAGCUUAAUGGCAAGUGUUCGAUCUCUAAUACAAACAGAUAUAUGUCAAAGUCAAAUUAACCCAACUUGUUUCUUUAUCUUACGUCUCUGCCUCUGCUGGUUGUUUUCAAAGUAGGUGAAAGCAUGCAAUAUAGUAUAUACUUCAACCCAAUAACUUGGCACGAGUAUGAUUCAUUCCACUGUGGAAAAAGCAUGGAUUUAUGAAUUCAAAAUACUUUGAGAGAGGGAGAGGUGCAAGAAAGGGUAAAAUUAAACUGCAUCACUGCAUGGAUGAGAUCAAAAUUGGCUGCAUAACAUAAUGCACAGUGGCAGUCCGAGUCAUCAUAUCAUAAUAAAUCAUCCAUUAUCCUACGAAGUAAAUUCAUAAGUUUAAAAUGGUUAGACAACUACUGCUUAAAAAGUUAAGGAGACACACCCUUCAUGGCUGAGAAGGAAAAGAAAAGGUUGUCCCUUUCCUCUCUCUCCAAUCCUCAUUACAUGUACAUGUGGCUAGUUUCUAGAUAAAAUUAAUUAAGUAAUUAAUCUCUUGAUUAAUCUUAAUCUGCUUUUGAUCUUAUUUUAAUUGCCUCAUAAAAUUUCUUAGUGACCCAUUUGAAGAUCUUGCCAGGAGCUUUACAUACACAUAGCUUUUUUCUGUGGUGAAACAGAAAGCUAAAAAUAAUAAAAACCCUAAUACUAAAUUCCAACUGAUAAGAUAUGGAUGACAAGAUGGGAAUCAAAUUUUCGCAAAUGCAACACACAAACGAACACUUUGAUUAGUGGGAAAUUUUUAGGCAAAGAUCAUAUCUUAUGUAUAUAUGCUUUGAUGAUCUCAUCAAUUUGGAAUGAUUUUUGCAGGCAGGUAACAUCAAAUGAGAGCGAGUGCUUUGACACCAAGUGUGUUUCUCUUUUCUCUUUUUUUUUUUUCUUUUUUUUUUUUUUUUUUUUUUUUUCUAGUUCCACGGCUAUCCUGCACUAUCAAAAGGUAUUUAAAAUUUAAUAUACAUAUAAUUAGUGCUCAGUCUUAAACAAAGCUUAUGAGCUAAUAAGAUUCUUCAAAUAAAUUUGGAUUAGACGUGUGUGAAAAUGUGUAGAGAUGGAUUCAUGUGUACAGAAAUCUAACUUCGAGCCCACCAUGGGAUCGAUCCAUGAAUUUUCUUCAUUUUUUGUUGCUUUCAUGGGGGAGAUUGCGUACAUGAAGAACUCGUUUUGGAGUAUGCACGUGUAGGUGGACAUACGUGAAGUAAAUUAAUUAGUAUGUCAUGUUAAUUUUAGCAAUUAAUUAUGAGCUAGUAAUGGUCAAGAUAAUCAUAAACAUAAUUGACAAAACAUUAGCUUUCAUUGGAUUUAACAGAAGUUAUUGGUACAAUGACACAUCAAUUGAGAAUCUCUAUGUGACGCAUUGCUUAAGAUUUAUAGAAUUUGUAAUAUAGAUACUUACAUACGCUUCACAAUAUAUAUACGCUCCAAAACAAUUGUCAAUGAGUAUAUAUAUUUAAUUCAUCAUUGGAUAUGUGGGAUACUCUCAAUAUAUCUCCUCGCUUGUUGCGUCUUUUGCAUAUAAAAGGUUGACAAUCUUAUUGGGUGAUGUGAGAUUAUGUGGUAUUGUUGGAUCUUCCUCGUCCUAUACUUUCAUAUCAUAUUAUACUGUGAGCAUCCAACUCAAAACUAAUUGACAAUGAAUGGAGAGUCCCAACAUCUUUAAACUCUUAAGCUAAACGUUCCUUUGAUACAGAAUACUCUGAAUAUACAAAAGAGAAUCAAACUCUUGACCUAACAUUAUAAAUCGUUUCCCCCACACCUCACCCACCUUCACCACUUGGACUAACCCUAAAGGCUUAAUAUAUAUAUGUCAUUUUAAUGGCUAUUUCAUCCACAAAAGAUAAAGAAAUAUGGGGGUAUGUGUAAAUGUUUACGUUAUGAUAAUUAUGAUAAAGUGGAUCUUGUCUAGGAAGGACUCCGUCAACAAGUUAUAAAUUCAAGUUGUAAUUUCAUGUAAUCUUUUCUCCGAAUGAUCUUUCUUAACCACCUUGAUUAGUUUUCGUGGGCUGAAUCUAGACUUUAUAUGGAUUUGACUUUAUAUUUAUUUAUUUUAUGAACUUGACUUUCAAGUACAAGUUCCAUUAUUCGGUGGAUUUUUCUCUCAAGCUAAAUUAAACAAAAGUCAUGUAAUUAACUUACUGAUUUAGUGGUUGGUUAGUGUCACAAGUUUGUUGGCAACUUCCGUAAUUUCUUCAAAAGAAAACAGAUUUAUUUUCUUUGAGGGAAACCGGUAUGGUCGGCACCUGUACCAAGGGGAGUGUCUCUGGUUCUGGUUGAACCAAAAACACCCAAAAGGUGAAAAUUAAGGCCAACCGUUCAAGUGCCGGCUUUUAUGCAUUACAAUGAACAUCACGUUUGCUCCCAGAUCAUCCGGCCUCUAUUAACCUUCUCCCUAUAUGAUUUUUCCCUUUCUAUGUAUCAUAUAUGCAUGACAUUAUGAGCAGUGGCGGAUUCAUGAAUUUUCUUUUUUAGGUUCAAAAAAACAUUAUUAUCUAGUCACUAAUAACAAAGAUCAAACGACUCUUAAAUGUUAGAAAACACAAUAAUAUAAAUACGUUCAUGCACAAAUUAGUAACAUAAACUCUGACUUUCUCCUAUUUCUUCUAUUACACGACACAAAGAGAAGAGUGAGAAGAAUGAAUCUAAAGAAUAAGACGAAUAACAUACGUAUAGGAGUAGAGUAUGUUACCCCGCUCGCCCUGCCUUAUAGUCUUCUUUGAGGCAUUUUAUCAAAUAACUUGGCCCCAUUCAAUAUCAAAUUUCAUGAAAAUUUGGCACCUUUCACAAGUGCCUUCACUGGACCGUUAAUAGAUCCGCCAAUGGUUAUAGGAUCGAUACACAUUCCUUUUAAGUUCAAUGAUUGUUUGGUUUCAUGACAUGAACCUUUCAUUUUAUUGGAGAACAUAUUGCAAUAAAUAACAUCAAAUUCACCGUGAAUCGAACCUAUAGUAACACACUGUAUAUUUCCUUUACUGACAUAGUGAGUUCAAAUUUCAUAAACAAUGACAGUUACAGAAACAAGAAAAACAAGAAGAAAAAAAGGGAAAAACAUUUCACCCUUUUCUUAGUUGUAGAGCAACAAAUAAACAUAGUAAACAUGGGAUAUAUUGAAUUUAGGAUACAAUCCAAGAGCCUGAUAUCACAUCUCGCAUAGCAAGCUUUGUCUGUGGGCCGUCGUGCAUAAGCCUUGAACUCCUCUGCACCUUUGCUGUCUUUCUCACUCCACCGAAAGCUUUCCCAUUAACACGCUAUUAUAGCUAAUAGCUAGCCGGCCACCCUAUCAUCUCUGGCUAUAUAUUUUUUUCAUUAUAUUCUUCCAAGAAAACUUAACACAUAUGGAUCUGAAAUCAUAUAUUAUAGAACUUAACAUGCAGAACACUCGAGUAUAUAUAUAUAUAUAUAUAUGAAAAAUACUUUUUUACUUUUUUUUUUAAUCUACCCAAAAACGCAAGUGUUGAAGAUUUUGGAAAUCCUCCCAUCAAGUAAAUUUUUUUAUAUUUUUUAUAAUGAAAAUAAUGUCCCUACCAUCCAUGGAUUGUUCAGUACAUGGGGGCUAGAACCUGGAGUUUACAAGACAGGUAACAUCAGUGAAAGACUUUCGUGUCUAAUUAUUAUUUUCUAUCCCUCUCCCUACCAACCAUAGGGUUUACUAAUCAAUCAAACAUGAUUAAUAUUCGGAUCAUUUUCAAGUUCAAAAGCUCAUCAUAUUUUUACAAGUAAAAGCUAAAUGAAAUCUAGUUAUGUACAGUGAUUCUUUUAGUCAAUUUAACAGUCUCCGCGUGAUAAUCUCUCUCUAUCAAAUAUAACACGAAAUUAUUUAACGGGUCAAAGUUUAAAAACCAUAGGAAUUUCAAAUAAACACCUUGUGUUUUCUUGAGGGGUACAGGUUGUUUUGUUUGCCCCCUAGCUAGCAAGCAGUUAGUCUAAAUAAUGGAAUUCUGUGAGGCAAAUUAGUUGAGUUGAAAUUAAGCAUAUAGUCUAAAGCUAAGUAAACGGAAUGGUUGAUGAUCCUAGCCAUUUUCUGACUUUAUAUAUCAAAUAUGUUUUGCUUGAUAUGUGUUAUUCGCGGAAUUAAAUAGGUCCAUACUGAGAUAUCAUAUAAGGUUACUUGACAUUGCUUGCACUCACUAUUAUACAUCUACGUAUAUGCGUCUUUUGUAGAGUCUAGAGCUACAUUUUAUUCGUUACGGUAAUUUACCCUCUUUGUUUUUUUUGAAAAAAGUUUAGGAGAAAAUUGGCUAUUCUCACCAUCAGAACCAGGAUAGACCCAAAACCUUAAGCCGGAAGGAUUUACACGUGGCACCCAACUGCUAGAUACCACCGGUAUGAAUUUAUAUAGGAAAUUAUAGAUCACGCAUCAACAAUGAUUGCUGGCAACGGGACUCGAAUAUUGGUGGGACUAUACAUGGUGCAAGGACCUUACCAACUGAACCAACCCUCCCUUAAUUAUUAGUUAUUUUAUUUUUAUUUUUUUUACUGGGAUCAACUUAGAGAUCAAUGCCUGAAUAUCAACUUGAAAAUCUUUUAACUUGAAAGUGUAAUAAACAAUGCAUGUUUUGUUGUUAAUGAUCAAACUUUAAGAGUUUUUUUAUUUAAACCUCACACUUCUCUUUGUUCACCCCAUACUCUAAGUUCACCCCAACUUCUAAUUCAAAUUUUUACAAUUGCUAAGAAAACCCCACUAUCUUCCCAAACUAUCCCUAAAUACACACCCAUCAGAAAAAAAAAAUUUAAAAUUGAAAACAUCAACUUCACACCUCACACUCCACACCCCGUUAUCUUGACCCUCACCAUCGAUGAAUAAAUGACUAUGGUUGUGUGAAUUUAGUUUUGUUGAUUUGGCUGAAUUUUGAGCUUGUAUGACUAAGAAGUUAUGCAAAUUUUUACAGUUUGAUCCAGUUGUUCAUAUUUGCAUUGUUGUGUUGUUCACUAAAAUCCCUAAUUCUGAUGUUCCAAGGCAUUAGGGUUUUGCCUGUACUGCAACAAUUGGUGCAUGAGACUUAUGUUGAUUUCGAUUUCUUUGGUAGUUGGAGUGAAAUAGUUUUGUUCCUAACUCCUCCCUAGUCUAUUGCUGUAAUUCAUGUAUAGUAGAAGACUGAUUUAACUAGCCCCAUUAAGAAUGUUGGCGAUUAGAACUUCAGCAUGUUGGCAAUUACAAGUUUUAGCCCUUGAAUUGGUCAUAUCAGUUUAUCUUUGCAGGUCCUUUUCUUUUGGUUUCUUUCACUAGAAGCAGCUAGGUGGUUGUUGGCACUUGAUGAAGAAAAAAACUGAAUAUAUGAACUCAAACUAAAUGCUUGGUUACUAAUUGUCACUGCCUUGAAAUUCUGUUUUUAUCUGAUACAUGGAUUCUAGUUGUCUAUGGAGAUAAAUUAACUCUAGUUUUGUUGUCUUCCAUAGGCCAUGUUUUCAGGAAUAAAAUCUCACUCCACAUCUGCUAGCAUUUUCUCAAGCAAUAGAAUGUAAAAAAAUUUGUGUUUUUCUAGAACUUAAUAUGAAGAGUGGUGGGUGGGGUGUGUAUAUAGAUAUAUUAGAGUUAAGUAUUAAGUUGAAUGACAUUUCUUGUUUUCUUACACAAUAAUAAAAUUUAAAAUCUUAAUAAUUUAAGUAUUAGGAUUAAAAAAAAAAAAAAAGUACUAGGUUUAAAUAGAAAAACUCAACUUUAAAAGGUUAAUCUGGCAUGAAAAACAGCGAUACACCGAUACCAGAAAAUUUUGAGUAGGUGGGUAGUGCCCUACACGUGGGACACGAUGAGUGAUAGUGAUAUGUAUUGGUCUGAUUUUUAAUAAAUUAUUAAUUCCUAAUCAUGGAUACUGUUUAUUUCCGGUAUCCAUCUCAAUCUUUUCGUGUGUGAGACUUGUGGGCUGGGCUUGACUACUGGACUAUAUCAGUGGUCAAAGACCUGGCUAUACCCAACCCCAUAUACGUGACUCUCAGCUUAAGCGCAUCAUGCAUGAUCAAUUCCAGUUACAUUUAGCAUGCAAUUGUGAUGCUACAAUGUCACAUAGAAAUGGUCUACUUGACAUGUUUGUUUAUCCAUAUUAUAAAAUUGUGCUUAAGUUUCGAAAGAAAAUCUAUGUUCAUGUGUACAGCACAACAGAAUAUAGUCAAGUUAUGGAAAGAGGUGUAAGAGAAAUCAAAAGCAGAAUUUCGGACUUUUGGAAUUUAUGAAUAUAUGAGAGACAUUAAAAAUCAUAUUAUUUUGUUAUUAAUCUAAUGAAAUCGAUACAAUCAUUAACACAUCAUCACCAAUGAAAAUUUUGAUGAGCCUUUCAUUUUCUGGCUACUUUCUGUAAUGAUAUCAAGUGCUUGUCAACUAAUAUUUUAACAAUUUCAAUCGACUCACAUACUAGUAACUUUGUAGAUAAUAAGUUUUUGAUUGUUUGUGGUGUAUACAUUAGGUAAAUCUUGCCACUCUUUGCUAAAGCGUUGUGUUUUUUAGGCCAAACUUUAUGGAUGACCAGAGGUUGAAAAUUACACAAAGCAAAUCCUCUUCCUAAUUCAAAUAAUUUUUUUCUUUCUCAUUGACCUUAUUUAAGCAUGACAUAGCUAAGUGGUAUAAAGUAUUAUACACAGAGUUCAGCAUUUUGUUUGCUUGCAAACCUACUCAGAAGCCCUGAACCUUUCCUUCUAAUAUUAUCUAAUUAAAUUUGAGUCAACAGGUGGUAGUUGGCUAAAGCAGUCCCGUGCCUGUGAGAAUUAAAUUCAGAGAGUACAAGUCAAAUGAGCUUCAAGUAUUUAUUGUCAGCCUUUGUGAUCAAACCAUCUGCACCAUUCAAUAUCCAUCAAUCUAGCUCUCCACCAAAAACCACCACAUACACAAAAAUCAAUGGCUCCAAGUUUCGAAGAUGGAAACUCACUGUUCAACUUUGUUGUCAGAGAUGGCAAUGGUGUGAAGGGCAUGGUGGACUUGGGCCUAUCGAAAGUGCCUGAACAAUACAUACAACCGCCCCAUGAGCGCAUAGUGAAGCUAAAUGCAAUCUCAGCAGAUGAGCUCUCACCAAUCGAUUUGUCAAAGCUAGAUGGGCCUGACCAUGACCAAGUAGCAGAUGCCAUUGUUAAUGCUGCUGAGGUUCUUGGGUUCUUCCAAGUUGUGAACCACGGCAUGCCUGUGGAGUUGCUAGAGUCCCUUAAAAAUGCUGCACAUGAUUUCUUCGGGCAGGCGCCGGAGAAGAAGGCUGCUUAUCGGAAAGGCGUGAGCCCUAGCCCAUACGUGAAGUAUGGGACGAGCUUUGUGCCCGAGAAGGAGAAGGCAUUGGAGUGGAAGGACUAUGUAAGCAUGGUGUAUUCCAGUGAUGUUGAUGCUCUCACUUAUUGGCCUAACGAGUGCAAGUAAGUAGAGUUCAUAUCGAUGAUCUGAUAACAUAACCUGUCACAUUGUCUCAUAAUAUAUAUAUAUAUAUAUAUAUAUGCGCAUUUUUACACUUCAUGGACAAACUAAGCAUCAACUCGAUGAGUUGAUUGUUUAUCACCACGAAAUUUGUAGGGAAGUUGCACUUGAGUACCUGAAGUUUUCUAUGGAUAUGGUAAAGAAAAUACUGAAAGUCUUGAUUGCAAAGCUUGGAGUGACACUAGAAGACUCAAAAAUUGAUGCGCUCAUUGGCUUGAGGAUGGUUAACAUGAAUUUCUACCCAACAUGCCCUGAUCCAGAACUCACUGUCGGAGUUGGGCGUCACUCGGACAUGGGCACCUUAACUGUGCUACUGCAAGAUGGAAUUGGUGGUUUGUAUGUGAAAGUUGAAGAAGACAUGGAUGCUGGAAGAAAGGGAGAGUGGAUUGAGAUCUCACCUGUCCCUGGUGCUCUGGUCAUCAACAUUGGAGAUACAUUACAGGUUAAUUAAUUACAAUCCAUUAGAUUAAGCUUUAAUAGUAUGCCUGUUUCAUAAUACGAGAGCCACCAAUCAAACUCAGCGUUGUAGACGAGUGUGGCUAGUCGAGUUCAUGUUCUUACAGAUAUUUAACCAUCUCAUCACAUGUGAUUGUUUUGUUAUAGAUACUUAGUAAUGGAAGGUACAAAAGUGCUGAACACAGAGUGCGUACUACAAGCACCAAAUCAAGAGUGUCUGUUCCAAUUUUCACCAUCCCAAAGCAAACAGAAAGAAUUGGGCCACUGCCUGAGGUGGUGAAGAAUGAUGGAGUUGCUCGUUACCGUGAGGUGGUGUUUGAAGAUUAUAUGAGCAACUUUUUUGGCAAUGCGCAUGAGGGGAAGAAGUCUCUUGAGUAUGCACAGAUUAUUAUUAGCUCCACCUCCACUUGAUGCAAAGAAACUGGUGUAUUUAUUUUAUUUGGUGCUUGCUCUCCUGAUAUUCUCCAUUUGUGUAAGAGUUGAAAUUACUUGGAUGUUGAAGCCUAUGCAACACUAAAGUUUGCUUCUUUUGAUUGAAUAAAGAGGAACACUGUAUUUAACUCUAUAGUUUCAGUAAGCUGUGCGCUGAGUUCAUGAAUGUAUAAAAUCCUUGUUGUUCAUCCAAAAGCUAUAGUAUUACAAAUCGAUAAUAUCGGCGAUAUUUUCGUUUUUUUCCUCUCCCAAUAUGAUAUUUUGGCAAGUUUCCAUAUUGUAUUGUAAUUUUAUUGAUGAAUUCGUUUGUAUUUUCAAACGUAAUAAUGCACGUGUGUAUUAUUCACAUAUUAUUGAAUAAAAGUACUACGCAUUAAGAAUUUUUAAAUUAUUAUUAAAAUCAUAUAUAAUGAUAAAAUUUUAUCACCGUAUAGUUUUCUUACCUUUAUUGAAUAAUGCACGUACAUAUUUUAUUCCACAUUUUACUAUCUUGUGAUUCAUUAAUCCAUAAUCGAAAUCAAAGGGAAAUUUGCAUAAAUACCACAUGAACUUUUAGAUAAGUGCAUCAUUACCACAUGAACUUUUAGUUUUUAUUUUUAACCACCUAAACUUUGUAAAGUGUUGUAAUCCAACACCUAUGUCUAAUCCCGUUAAAAUUUCCAUUAAAUUUAAGGGUAUUUUCGUCAAUUACUGACUAAAAAGAAUUAUAAAGAAACAGAAUUUAAAAAAUAAAAUUAACCUAAUUAUACGCAUUACCCCAAACCCUAAACCCUUUCCCCCACCACACCCGACCACAAACACUCUGCUUUUGUCUCUUGGAUUAUCAAACCCCUUCUUCCCAAACCUUGAGAUUAUCUCUCCCACAAGUCCACGCUGAACUCCAUCAGGUUUCACCAUUUUGUAUGUCUCAUCAACUUGUUCCAAUGAAGCAGCCAAGUGAGGAAGAAAGUUGCGAGGUUUGGGGAGGCUUUUAGCAUGAGGACGAGAUGGGAAAUAUGAGAAAACGGUUAUUCUUGUGGUGGUCGUAAGAUAAGCUGCAGAUUCUCUCAGCUGCUGAGCGUUGAAGGGUGAGGAAACACAUGGACUUGCUCCGCCAAACACUGUCAGAGUCUCCAUUCUGUCUCUGCUUCUAUAUCCCUUCUUUUUUAUUUUUAAAACUAGGUUUUUUAAGAUUAGUUUUUUAGUGAACUGACGAAAAUGACCUUCCACUUAACGAAAAUUUUAACAGAAUUAGACGUAGGUGGUGAAUUGCAACACUCUACAAAGUUCAGGUGCUUAAAAAUAAAAAAUAAAAGUUCAUGUGGUAAUAGCGCACAUGCCUAAAAAUUGAGGUGGUAUUUAUGCAAAUUUCCCUAAAGAGUUGGACUCUGACUACGGAUUACUCAUGUGUUUACUUCACAUAAAGGAAUGAAAGUGCAAGUGGGGCCCAAGCAAAAAAAAAAUUCAACUCAUGAUUUUGGAGGAAUUGGACUCUUGAGUGAAAGGUGAUAUUUUAAUUCCUGGAGAACUAACCCAUCAAAAAUCCAUCUUUUUUAAAAUUUUAAAUUUGCCAUACACUUUUACCAACAAUAAGGACAUUUUAGUAGUCAAAUUAGUUUCAAUUCUGAUCCAUGGGAAUUUAGUAAAUAACAGAUAAGGAAUCACUAUCAUUCUUACCAUGAUUCUAGAUAGUUCAGUAAACAACUUCAUGGGAAUCCGGAUUCUAAGAGCAUCUCCUUGCAGGAGUGUAAAAAGAGAUGUAAAUGAUAUUUACACCCAAAGUUGCCAGAAGUUGCUUCAAUGGUGGGGCGAAAAUGAAUGCAAAUAUAGCGCAUUUGGCCGGAAAAUGUAAAAAAAAUGAAUAUUUACAUAUGAUUCUGUUGUGUGGAAGCGUCAACCAACUGUGAGUGAAAAUAAAACAACUGGCAAGAGAUAAAAAAGAACAAAACAACACCAACAAGAACACCAAGAUUUAUACUAGUUCGGCAAUGCCUACAUCCAGUUUAGAGACGACGAAGUAAUCCACUAUAAUCAAAUAAGAGAAUACAAUAGUGUUUAACACUCAGAAACCCAAACCCCAAAUAUACCCAAGCUCACACACUCAAAAAUAUAAAGGAAUUACAAAUUAAGUACAAUUUAGAGAAAGAGAAAAAUAACCAACAACAGCCACAAAUUAUUUUGCUGCCCAACUAUUAUUUUUCCUCUCUUACUUUCUCUACUACCAACUUCUCUUUGCUCUCUCUUUGGUGCAACUUAUUCUCUCUACUGGACUGCUUCCCUUUUAUAGCCAAACGAUGAGUGGCUUUUCAAAGAAGCCAACGGGUGGGCUGCUAAUCAAGUCAGACCAAUCAAUUAGCAAAGUCCAUUAAUUAAUGUAUUCCCAUGCAAUUUGUCUGCCAAUCAGCCAACUACCAAAAUAAAUAGCCGAAAGCAACAUUGCACAUGGGUGCAAUCUUGAGUCAAAUAGUCAUCAAAAAAGUUUUACACUUUUGACUUGUUUGAGCCAAUAAUCAACAUAUUCUGCAUCCUCGUUUGCUAGGCUCCGCAAGCUGAAAAUGAGGAGAUAUAAUGCAAUAGUGUUGGGCUCCACACAUGUUGGGAACAUGGUGGAGGAUAUUCUUCGAUUCAUGGCGGACUUGGCGGUUACAAGUGUGCUUUAUCAACCCCGGUCCGACAAUGGAGUGGCGCAUGAGUUGGCACGGGUUGGAUUAACGGAAGGGACUACUUUUGUUUCGGAAGAUAUCGCUCCGCCUUGGUUGGAGUCGAGCGUUACCAGAGAUAUGGAGUUGGGCUAGGUUUUUUUAUAUAUUUAGUUCAUGUCGGAGGCGCUGUGACACUCUUUUUCCUUAACCAAAUUUUCUUAUUUGGAUGUUUUUAAUGACAAGGUUUUAACGAGGACACCUCUUCUGCUCUCAUGUUACGUAUUGAUGUACUAACUAUUUGUGCCUUAUAUUGAAGGUUAAUGAAAGUUACUAUUGAUUUUAAAAAAUAAUAAUAAUAAUAGGUGAGACAACUACCAAAAUAUUAUAAACAUUAUUUUGCUUCAACUUGAUAUAAAUUUAUUUCCUUUCAUGUCCUUUUAUAUCAUUUUUUUAGGUACAAUUGAGCUAGAGGAAGGGAAACAAUGAAUCAACCCAAAGUACCUAGAGCUUCAAUACAUAGUGUUUCAAUGUUUGAAAAUUCUAGAUGGCAUUCAGAGAUAGAAAUUAAAUAAGAAUCACAUAUUAUGCACAAAAAAUUUACCAAUCUAUAAAUUAACAUUGUCAACAAAUCAAGUGUCUGUCAAAUUCGUUUCACAAUUUGACCCAUUUGGUCAGGAGACUUGAUCAGACUUAGCAGCUACUUACACCAUUGCGUGUUUCACACUUCACGAAAUAUGUAACUUCCCUUUGCAACCUCUUAACCCCAUGUGUUUUUACAAAAAAAACUAAUUUAAUUACUUACUAUUUCUCGUGUGCAUAAUGUACUUCCCCCUCUAAGGGUAGUUUAGGAUGUAUUUAACGGUAAUUUGGGAAGAUAGUGGGGUUUUCUUAGAAAUUGUGAAAAUUUUAAAUUAAAAGUUGAGGUGAACUUAGAAUAUGGGUGAAUUAAGAGAAGUGUGAGAUUUAAAUAGAAAAUCUUUUUGUUUGUUUCUUCUGGUCUGCAGAAAAAAUUGGGUUCAGUUCAGUGGAAAUGCACAUAUAUGGACCGACUCGUUUAGAAUAUGGCCGUACAUGUUAAGGCGGUGCAAAGCUUCUUCCUUUAGUUUUUAAUUUAACCACACACUCCAGAACGCUUGGAAGCACAAAACUUUAUUGGCGUUCGAAUCUCUCUCUCUCUGUUGUUCUGUCACUGUUGGAUCGAGCAUGGAGGCAAGUAAGGAAGCGUUUCUGAGGGAGUUUGGGGAGCAUUAUGGGUACCCGAACGGUCCCAAAACCAUUGACGAAAUCCGAGCAACCGAAUUCAAACGAUUAGAUGGUCUGCCUCUCUUUAAUUCGCUUCUAUAUUCUAUCCCUUUGCUCUCUGUUUGCUUCUUGAGAAAUUUGAGCUGAAAAAAAUGACAAGAAGCAAAUAAGCUUUCGGUUUUAUCAUUUUCAGUCUUAUUUGUUGAACCCAAGUGCAAUUUUUCUAGUUUUUAAUUGAGCUGGGGAAAUGAAUUAAGUUCUGAAAAUUUAUUUCUUGGUGGGCAUACAGGGGAAUGUUGGUGAGGUUUGUUUAUUGGGUUUUGGCUAUUGAUGCUCAUGGGUUUGGGAAAUGUAGGUCUUGUGUACUUGGACCAUGCUGGUGCGACUAUGUACUCUGAGUUGCAGAUGGAAGCAAUCUUUAAAGACUUCACUACCAAUGUUUAUGGAAACCCACGUAUCCUAUUACAUGUGAAAUGAAUGAUUGUGGUGUGAGAAAUCGUUAUGUAAUUGCUGGAACAGGAUUUGCAAUAUAAUCUUGUUCUGCUGGUUGUUGAAAUCAAAUUGUCUUAUAAAUUUAAUUUAUGACCUUGUUGUUAUUCAUGGUUGCUUUUCAUUAAGUUCCUUAAUUUAAAUUCAGAUAGUCAAAGUGAUACGAGUUCUUCCACUAGUGACAUUGUAAGGGAAGCCCGCCAACAGGUAUCAUAUGUUAUCUCUAGCUGCCUUGGUGUUAGUCCUCACAAUAUAAUGAAUUUUAAAGGUUCAAUAUAUUUUUUCUAAUCUUUUCCAGGUAGUUGGAUAGAGUGGGAAUAUUAUGACCACUAAUUGUCCUGAAUUGAUCUUUAUGAGUAAUUUUUGUUAUCAUGAUUUUUUUUUUCCUGAUGAUUCAUGUGCAAGAUUAAUAGUUGGUCCCACAGUUCGUACUUUUAGUGAGUUUCUGAAUAGCCCUGUCACAUUCGUAUAGGUCCUUGACUAUUGUAAAGCAUCGCCAAAAGAUUACAGCUGCAUAUUCACUUCUGGGGCUACAGCGGCACUGAAGCUGGUAGGGGAGGCCUUUCCUUGGAGCUGUCAGAGCUGUUUUACAUACACGAUGGAGAACCACAAUAGUGUCCUUGGGAUCAGAGAGUAUCCUAACAUGCAUCACUCAGUCAUCAUCUUUAAUAGAUGGGGUUAGCUUCUUUUUUUUUUUUUUUUCUUUUUCAAUGAUUAUUCUAGAAUUUUUGUUUGUACAUUUAAUGGAGAGGAUCCUUUUCACCAGCAUUUAUGUCUCAACUUACAAGUUUGUGCUUAAUGUUUGGCAUGGAAGUUGAACAUCAGUUUUGUCAGAUGAUUGACUUCUGAGUGAUAUUACAGACUUACUUUGUGUACCAUUAAUGCUUGUGGUCUUUGGACCUGUAUAUAUGUUCCCUUACCGGAUGUUGUUUUUCUUGAAAUCUUUUGAAAUCAAAUGGAGAGCUUGGGCCAGUUUGUUUUGUAUGCAAUAUUUUGUACACUCUACUAUAAUUUUGAAUUGACGUCAUUAUUCUUGUGUUUUUCAUUUUCACCUUCUUAAGAGUCUGAGCGCCAUAUAUGUAGCCCUUAAUUAGUUUAGAUAUGCUCUGGAUCAAGGAGCUGCAGCCUUUGCAAUAGAUGUUGAAGAGACUGUGCAUCAUGGAGUAUCCAAUGGUACUGCAGCAUCUAUGAAGGUGUUGCAGUACCAAGUGCAAAGGAGAAAUGAAGCAAGUUCCCUGGAAGAGCCAACAGGUAAUUCUGACUGGACGCAUUAGAUAUUGAUGGAAAGUUGGCAAGACCUUGAUCGCAGCACAUCUUCCUAGCAUUUUUGGAUGGUUGCUAUCUGCGUAUGCAUUUUCAUGCAUGUCUUUGGUAGGGAAAGGGGGUUCAAACGGUUUGGCUGAAUUAAAAUUGGGAUUUCAUGACAUUCAAGAUUAUGACAAUUUUUCAUUGGAUAUCUGUUGCAACACCAGUCAGUUGUAAAAAACUGUACAAUGGGUGAAAAUUUAAUUGGUUUUUAGUGGUUUGAUGUUAUCAUUUAUAAGUUAUUGUUGUUGAUUUCUUUAAGCCUGUUGUGAAAGUGUUGGUCUUAAAUAUGAGACAAAUAAUUGUAAAUCAUAUUCAUACCUGUACUUUGUUUGCGGAUACUGUUAUAAAUAACAGUUAUGUAUACUGAUAUUUUCAGGAGAGUUCAUGAUAACGUACAUGAAUUUGAUUUCAUUUCAUUUUCCUGAUGCAGGAGAGGCAUAUAACUUAUUUGCCUUCCCCUCAGAGUGCAAUUUUUCUGGUUUGAGAUUCAGCCUUGACUUGGUGAAGAUAAUUAAAGAAGAUCCGGCAAGAAUUCUGGAAGGCUCUCCAUUUUGCAAGUAGGUCAUACAUUAUAUCCAGUAAACUUUUUAUUUGCUCUGCCAUUCACAUAUGAUUCUAAUCUGAAUUAAUGAGACCAGUUUAUCUUGCAUAAGCAGAAUAUAACUGUAAUAUCAGUUUUGAAUUUUCAAUGGAUGUGGUUAUAUUGGUAGAGAGCCGAAUGUUACUUUGUAUGGCUGGUUGAGGUUUUUGUUGUCUUCCCAUUAAUUUAUGGACCUCUCUUCUUCUCAUGUUCUUCACCUUUUCUAUUACAAAAAAUAAAAUAAAAAGGAAAAGAAAGGCAGAAUUGCUUUGAAUGUACAUACCUAUGUUGCUGUUGUGUCAUGACUUGUUUCUGGAAGAAAAAUAUAUCAUGAAUGGAAGAUCCUCUAUACAAACAUUAGUAUGCAGACAAAUGCAUGCAUAAACAUGUGCAUGCUAGUGCGUCUCUGCACAUGUUUUCUGUUGGCUUGGUUGUCUUGUCUUUUUCUGCGAAUGUGAUAUAUAUUUAUCCUCCGAGUCUCUAUUUUUCUGCCUUUUGGUCUUUCUUUUCAAUGAAGGGUUUUCCUGGAAGACAAGUAUAGAAUCUUUGCUGAUGAUCUCUCUUUGAAUGCUUCUAUGUUAGACAGCAUAGGUUUUGCUCAUUCUAGUAUGCUUUGCUGUUUAUAUUGGGACAUCUAGCUAGUAUACUAUAGAGGAAUUAAAUUUUUGAGAAUUUCUUUAAAAAUUCUUCAAUUUGAAUAUUAUGCAUUUAGUAUUUUAUUUUAUUUUUACUUUUUUUAUAUCAUAAGUGGGCGCUGGAUGGUCUUGAUUGAUGCUGCAAAAGGAUCUGCUACAGAACCACCAGAUUUAUCAUUAUAUCCGGCAGAUUUUGUUGUUAUGUCUUUCUAUAAGGUACAUGUCUUUGUUUGGAUUUUGUUAGAAACCAUUACCUUUGGAUAUUAAUGUUUUGUAUCUGUAUGUUUCUUGUUAAGCUGUUUGGUUAUCCAACUGGACUCGGAGUGCUCAUUGCUCGAAAUGGUAAGUAACUAAUAAUGAACAUAAUCAUAUUUUAAAAAUAAUUUGGUGGUGUGUUAGAAGUUUUCACCAGUCUCAUAUAUAUGUUGUGAUAUUGCCUUCAAAGUACUAAAAUUGCCUUUUAUCUUGUUUUCCAAGGGUGGGUAGGCCUAGUUCAUUUAUUUGUGAUUUUAGUUCUUGUUGCAUGUGCCAUUUUCUUCCCUUUAAAGUAGGAUGUCACAGAAAAUUAUAGAAAUAUGGCCACUAGAUCUCUUCUUGGUUGCUUGCAUGAACUUACUACUUGUGAAAAUUAUGUUCUAAUUUUUUGUUCAUGCUACUUCCAUUAAUUUUUUCUUUGGUGGUGUAUCAUCUUGAAAUGUAAUAUCAAAACUUAGGGAUAUGUUUUUCUUAUUUGAACUUUUAUUUUACAACACAGAUGCCUCCAGGUUAUUGAAGAAGACGUACUUCAGUGGAGGUUUGCACCUAGAUAUCUAAUUUGCUAUCACUAGUCUGUAUAGUUUUUUUUUUUUGGGUCACACUAGUCAGUAUAGUAAUACAGUUGGUAAUCAUACGAACAUUUCAGGCACAGUCGCAACCUCAAUUGCUGAUAUUGACUUUGUUAGGAGAAGAAAAAGUGUGGAAGAGCUCUUUGAGGAUGGCACCAUUUCAUUCCUGAGCAUAGCUUCUGUUCACCAUGGGUUCAAAAUUCUUAAUUCCCUAACUGUAUCUGCCAUAUCUCGGUAUGUUAUAGUUUUUUAGUUUCAAAUUGCAUUGUCUGUACUCUGUAGUGAUAAAAAUAACUCCUCAUUUUCUAAACAAACCUUUAUGCAUGUAAUACGGUUGAAUUGCUCCUCUGAAAUAAGUUAAAAUCAUCGUAUUGUAUUGUGACAUGAAUCAUCCUUGGGAUUUUUCUUGAUAUAUGCACUUUUUACAUUGAGAAUUAGCUGAUCUCUACCUAGGUAGGACAAUGAUGGAUCUGCAUUCUCUCAUCAUUAGUUUGUCUCAAUUUUCUGCUAAGAAUAUUUCCUGCCAUUGCAUUUGGACAAUGAAAAAAGUUAAGUAUGACUCUGCAAGUCUUUUCCUCAUAAUUUUCAUCAUAUAUAAAAAAAACUGUGGUAUAUUUUAAUUUCAUUUAAUUUUCCAUUGCCAGAAAUGGGUAUUCUCCUUGAUCUUCGUACGUUUUCAUUUCCAUCUUCAGUUAAUAAUCUUUGUCUAGAUAAUAGAUAUAGAUGAAAUGCUCUGAACCAUGCAUGACCUUGCUAUUAUUUUAGGCAUACAGCAUCUCUUGCCUGGUACGUGAGGAAGAAGCUCUUGGGCUUGAGGCAUGAAAAUGGAGCCCGUGUUUGCACACUUUAUGGAGAUUCCAAGGUUUCCUUUGUAUUUGAAUGCUUACUUUUCUUUUUGUAGUAAAGCUGCCACGUUUACUAAGUGAAUGAAAUGCACGUCAUUUCAUAUGUUAUAUCUCUUGGUGUUGUGGAGGAGGAAGGAUGGGGGUGGCAGUUAGAACUUCUUAUAUUUUUCUUUUUUUGGUAAAAACAAAGGCUUCUGAUUCAUUUCAAGUAAGCCAACUUCACUGCAUGAUUCUUUUUAUAUCCGACUGUGGUCCAAUUAUGUAAAUUUCAAGAUGCCAGUUCAAAUUUGGUCUGACACAUGAUCCCCAGUUUGAGUUGAGUUCAUCUUGGUUGUAUCAGGUGGUGGCACCUCCUCUUAAGACUGAGGGUGAUGCCUUGGUGCUUGUGCUGUUUACCUGGCACAUUAGAGAAAAGUUCAUUGACUGUAUUAACCUUCUCGACUUUCAGUGGGUCUAGCUAACAUGGAUGACUCUGUUUGAUAUACUAUUAAGGUCUAAUGUGUCAAUUCUUUAGAACUUUCGAUUCGUUUGUCGAUGCUCUGUAAAUUAGUUAGUUUAGAAGUCUAAUCUUUGAUCAAUUUAGUAAAUGCUCUAUGGACAGAAUCUCUUUCUUCUAUGUUUUCUGAGAUUUGUAGAUAACAAUCUGAUAUAUUUCAAAACUUUAUUCUGUUAGGCAUUAUUUCAUGACUUUGGUCCUACAGUCUCGUUCAACUUGAAAAGGUCGGAUGGCUCCUGGUCUGGAUACCGUGAAGUGGAAAAACUGGCAUCUUUAUCUGGAAUUCAGUUACGGGUAAAUUUAUGAGAUGUUAUUUGGCAUUCAACCCAUCCUUUCGGUCUUUGUGUGACAAUCAAAUUAUGCUACUCUACUAGAAAUGGCAAUAUGUGAUUUAUUUAUUAUUUAUUUUACCUAAUUCACAAAUGAUAGGUAACUUGAAAUUGCUAAAGUCGUUGCAAGGUUUACACUGUUGGGUGGCCCUAGGGUUUGUGAUUUGAUUUGGGCAAAACCCUUCUAAGGGAAUUGGGUAUGGAUGCCCAGGAAUGUAUGAAACUCUAAUAGUGAUAAUAAAGCUGUCAUCAAUAGAAUCCAGUCCAAUAUAAUAGAACUAGAAGAAAACCUGGAAUCUGGUGUGAUGUGAUAUGCACUCCUUUUGUGAAGACAUGACAAGAACUUGCUGAUAUCUUGACAAAGAGUGUGCCUAGUACUCUCUUCCAUUCAUUUGUCGACAAACUUGGUAUGCUAAAUAUCUGAGCAUCAGCUUUGAGCAGUGUUGGAAUAUUUGUUGUGUAGCUUAGGAUGUUCUUGCCUUUGUGAAAUUACCAAAAUAUAUGAUGUACAAUAGCUUAGGAUAUAGCAUAAGCAUCUCUUGGUCACUUCUCAAGGUGUUAUUCAUUUGCAAUAUGUUGGCGAUUUUUCAGCAUUUCCUUGGUGUCAGAACCACGUGGAAUGUGUUUUUUAAUUUUUCUUUCUGUUAAGCUCACCAAAAUUGGUACUUAGGAUUUUAUAAAAAUAUUCUUCUGUUUUUAAACGCAAUUGAUCUUCUGAGAUAACUUAUGUCAAUCUAUGUAUAUAAUUCAUAUUUUGCAUGCAUUUCCUAAAUUUGUUCUAUGUAAUGAUAUAUAAUCUGGUUGGGUGAGAGAAAGAUCAGCAAUUUUACUCCACUUGUGACGGGUCCUGACAUUCUUUUAUAUCCUCCUUUCUAUGUAGACAGGAUGCUUUUGCAAUCCCGGUGCAUGUGCAAAAUAUCUUGGCUUGUCUCACUUGGACCUUCGUUCAAACUUCGAGGUAUUUGGAACUGUUUAUUUUGAUUUCUUUUUUUUUUUCUUUUUUUUUGUUGUUGUUGUGGUUUUCGAGGGGAAAGGAAGGGGUGGGGACGUGUGGGGGAUUGGGGCUCACUUCAGACUUUUCUUAGGAUUUAGUUAAUGAAUGACUAUUCUAUUCUAGUUGAAUGAUCCACCGCAUGGCAUGUCUUUUCAGUUUCUGCUUGAGGGUAUGAAAUAGUCUUAACAAUUUGGUUUUGGAUAUUAGGCUGGACAUGUUUGCUGGGAUGAUCAUGACAUAAUUCAUGAAAAACCUACUGGAGCGGUGAGAGUAUCCUUUGGUUAUAUGUCAACAUUUGAAGAUGCAAAGGUAGAUGUUCUUUCUCAAGCCAUAGAGAGUAUAGUUAAAAUUUGAAGUGUACAGUGUUGCAGCAUUUCCUUUCCAAUUUUAUGCAUAAGCUGAUGUGAAGCACAACAUUCCAGGCUUUAACUAACAAAUGUUUGUUUUCUUAGAUUUUGAAAGGCAAAAACACCAAUUUGGGCUUUUCAUUCCAGUCUGAUUUUCUUUUCUCUUUCUUGUUUUAUGAAAUGCAGAAAUUUAUUGAUUUCGUGACAAGCUCCUUCAUAGCGUUACCCAAUUGGAUUGAAAGUGGGUAUCAACUAAUGCAAGGUUCAUCCCCUUUCUAAAUGAAGGUUAAUUUAUAUAUUGCUUUAUACUCUGGUCUGAAAGAGUUGAAGUUUGGUUUAAAUUACAUAUCUUCAUUUCCUGUGGAGGAUUCCAAUCUCCUGCUCCUCCCCACCCUCUCUUAAUUCUUAUUUUCUUUGCAUUUUCAAAAUUUUAAGCCAUGUCAUUGUUUCCGUUGCCUCACAAGAUGAAGUGAUCGUUUUUCAUGUUAUUAAUAUAGGAAAGAAAAGGACUGGGAAUAGUAAAAUUCUAUGCAGCACGGAUGACGCAUCUAUGUGUGGUGUCUUUUGCAUGGUAUUGUAUGUUGAGAAAUAAAGAGGGAGAGAAUAAGGUGCUUCAAUCAUAAUACUUACAGGGUCUACAUGAAGCAGAACAUUAGUUAUAAUAAGAAACUAAACAAUGGCGACGUAGGAAACUAAAUUACACUCCUAUAGGAACCAAAUGUUCUUACAAAAGAACAGCCAUUCAAGAGAUAGCAUAGAUGCUAAUUAUGCCUAGCUUGUUAAAUCAGUCAUAAACAUAAUUGAAACUUAUAAUUUUAAAGCAAACUCAAAACAUAAAAGUGAAUUGGAUUUGUACUUGUGCUACCUUGAAUGAAUGUUCUCAUGCCACCUUGAGCCUUGAGUUUCUUUGGAUAUGAUCUUUAAGAUCUUCAAUAGUCUUUCAGUAUUACUCCUGAAUGUGUUAGGGUUCAACUUGUCUGAAAUUUUGAACCAGACAUUUUAUAUUUGGGGAUCUUUGAACUUUGACAUGGUUUUAUUUCUCACUUCAAUAACUUAGGAUUCACAUGGCUACAAACUGGCUUGCAUCGUGUGCCUCUACCUAAAUUAUAAUUGUGAAAUUGUUUAAAUAGAGUACAACCCUAAUUCAAUAGGAAACUAGCUAACAACCGAAACACCUAAUUUAGGAUACUAGUUAAGCCCAUAAACAAAGUAGAAGCAUUCUUAUACUCUUAAAAUACAAAUUCUCUAAUAUAACUUUUUUUCAUCUCCCAUUCCACAUUUUUUUAAUGAUAUUGGAUGAGAGAAAUAGUAGAGUUUUUUUAUUUAAGGAGAGGAGCGCUCAUUUAUGGAAACCAAAGCCCAGAUUUUGGAUGGUUAAUUGAGUGGGCCUUGUGAGCUUUUUCCAUGUCUCCUAUAUCUCGUCAGUUUUUGCUUUCUUUAUGCUCUUUUCAUUGUGGGUUUUGUGUACAUGGGUUGCUCUACACUAAAAUUCGUUUACUUAUUAAUAUAUUGUAGGUUCUGAAAGCAGACUAGGAGCUGCCAGUUUCUAUCUCAAGUCUAUCACUGUUUACCCAAUAAAAUCAUGUGCAGGAUUCAAUGUGGAAAGUUGGCCUUUGAGCACUACUGGUAGCUAUUUCUUGUCUUCACAUUUUGUGUGUUUUUUCUUGGAAUAGUUGUGUAAAAUAUCAUCAUAAUUUAAUAAUAUUGUACCCAGUAGGAGGCACCUUUUUGAAUAACACAAGGAUACAAGCCUGCCGUGCCAGUUAAUCUUAUGUAACAAGUGUUAUUUGAUAGUAAUUAUGAUGGAAAAGAAAAGUUACACCCCCAUGGAUUAUCAUACUUAGGAUCACCCUAUUUCGGUGAAGAGCGUAGCAAGCAGUGGUUAUAUGUGGCGAAGCAUAAAGAAGAAGAGAUUGGAAUUGUACUCAUCUCUUGAAGAUAACAUGUAUUAACAUUUACCAGAACCAAAUUUUGUUGUUGAACCUUGGUGACUUAAUAAAGCUGGAUGUGUUUCACGGUUUCAAGAAUGUAGAUUGAACCUUAUGAUUUUAUAAUUGUUUUCCUUUUUUCCUUUGGCAUACUAUCUGUUCAUUUCUUAUAAGUUUGUGCUGCUCCAGGAAAUUAGCAAAAUUUCGUUUGUUAUUUAUUAUAUAUAUUUGUGUCUCUAUGUAUGUAUGUAUGUAUGAAUGUAUGCAUCUUAAUGCAGUGACAAUAUAUAGAGGGCCUAGAGGCACUGUAUGUUCCAUUAUUUGAAUAUCCCUGUUUGAUGGGUAGAAUCUUUGUCAUAUCUGGGAGUGUAUUGGUUAAUGGAAUUUUAUUAUUUUUUGGGUGGUUUUUUAGCAGGUUUGCUUCAUGAUCGGGAAUGGGUUCUUGCAAGCCUAAGUGGUGAAAUUCUUACACAGAAGAAGGUGAAAUACCAAUUUAGUAGUUUUCGACCAAAAAACCCAAUUUAGUAGUUUCAAGCACAUGCGAAUGCGCACAAACACAGUGCAAUUGGCUCAGACCCUAGGCAUGGCUCCAACACGUGGGAUGGGUACAUUCGUGUUCAUGCCAUGCCGAUGUUGUGCCUAGGGUAUGGGUAACUUUUUCUUUUCAUAUUUUUAAUUAAGAGGAUUAGGUUUUUUUCCUUGUAGUUAAAGGUAUGGGAUAUUUAUAGGCGAAAGAGUAGGGAAAAGAAUAAAAUAAAAUUUAAAAGAGCUCUUUAUUCUAGGGCGGCCUAUGUGGGUAAUAUGUCCAGGUGUCUGAUCUGCUCUUCAGAGAGUCUUUCAAAUUUUGGAGCAUAGUGAACAUCAAAUUUGUUUAUGCUUUGACCAUAAAAAAUUGAUUAGCAUUAACUUUUAACUCUUCUGAAUUUGGUUUUGUAGGUUCCUGAAAUGUGCUUUAUAAGUACUUUUAUUGACCUCGACAAGGGAAUAUUGUUUGUAGAGUCACCACGAUGCCAAGUGAAACUGCCAAUCAACUUUAUCACAGAUUCAUGUAAUGGUGGGAGCGAACAAAUUAAGUUAAAUGGCCAAAGGCAAGAUAAUAUUUGUGUAUCUGUCUUUUUAACUGCUUGUUACUCCUUUGUUCUAGAGUGUCAUGGCCUUGUUAGACUUGUUGGAUUGAUGGAAUGUUUAGAUACUAUUACAAUGAUAAUAUAUUUGUUAAUUUGUCGCUGUUUUGAAGUAAUUUAGAAAAUUCCCUUUGUUUACAUUCUAUAAAGGUUUAUUGGUUAACAUUUGGUUUGUUUUUUUGUUCUUUCUUUUUUCUUUUUUUUUGGGGGGGCUUAGAUAUGAAGUACAGAGCUACAAGAAUGAAGUCAAUAUUUGGUUCAGCAAUGCCAUUGGUCGACCAUGCACUUUAUUCCGCUGUUUUAGUUCCAGUCACAACUUUUGCUUGAAUAAGAUCAAAAGUGCAAGCAUGAGAAGAGAGGUGCAGAGCGUGUUGAAUUUUUCCAAUGAAGCUCAGUUCUUAUUGAUAUCUGAGGAAAGCGUGUCUGACCUCAGCCACAGAGUAAGCACAAGUAUGUUCUUACAUUGAACUGUUGCAAGUCAUAUAGCGAAUAAAUUCUUGCACUCUGAUGUGAAACGAUCGAGACUUGCAUGAGCUAUCUUCUGUUCUGAAUACAAUUGCAAUAUGGAUUGAUUUUCCUGUACCCUGGAAUCUUUGAGAAAAUACUUUUUUUCCUAUUGUUUUUUUCCCCCUCAUUGACUAAAUUCCGGCCUAAUACCUUUCUUAUGCCUACCCUAUCACAUUAUAGACAGCCCAAGACCUUUUAGGAAAUUAGUUGAGGAUUUUAAGAAUGGGCUAAGUGUUAUGAUACUUGAUUGCUCCUUAAAAUCAGGCAUGAUUAGCUUUCCAGAGAGUGGAACCUCUUGAUGCAGAGUAAAAGGAAUGUGAAGAUGUCAAGCACUUUUGGUUUGUGGUUACAGCCCCACCAAAAGGUAGCUAGCUGAAGAAUAGAUUCCAAAAUUUUACCAAAGGCCCGAAGUUAGCCACGUGCAGUGAAGUUUCGAUAUUAAAACAAUUGGUGUCUAUGCUCUUUUCAAUUUAGUUGUCAUUUGGUGUAUAAGAAUUGUUUUUCCCCUGAUAUUUAUUGAUUUAAAAGUUUAUGCAACUGAAUGAUUGAUGGCAGAAGAUGUACAAAAAGGUGCUUGUGGAGCAGCAAGCCAAAUAAGUCCAAUGAGAUUUCGGCCCAACAUUGUCAUAUCUGGAGGUGAACCAUAUGCUGAAGAUGGAUGGAAAAUUCUUAAAAUUGGAAAUAAGUACUUCACAGUAAGUUCUAUAACUUGAAUAGAGAAAGUAAUGGAUAAUUUUAGAGAUACACUGGUGUUCCUCUGGAUACUCCAGAGUCUAGAAUAUAGUCCAGAAUAUGUUUUGAAGUUGUGAUUGUUUAUAGUUCUGUGAGAUGCAUUGUUAAUGUAAAAAUGGUUUUUUGCUUCAUGGAACUUGAGUCUAGAGAUGAUAAUUAUAUGUGUAUCUUACAUGAAUUUUUGAAACUUUAUGAAACCAGUUACUGAAUAUAGUAUCAUUUACUUCAUAUGUAAGGAUGGUCUCACUAUUUUUUUUGUUUCCUAGUCCCUGGGUGGAUGCAACCGUUGCCAGAUGAUCAACAUUGUUCAUGACGAAGCUGGACUACUGCAGAAGUCGAAUGAACCUUUGGCCACUCUAGCAUCGUAUAGGAGAAUGAAGGUCAUCCAUUACAGUUAUUAAAAAGUAAUGUUUAUUUUGUUGUCUUUAAUUCUUACUAAUGCAAAUAAAAUCAAAACUUUUGCGGAUUCAGGGAAAGAUUUUUUUCGGGAUACUGCUGAAAUACGAAAGAAGCGAACCAGUAGGGAGGGAUGGUGAUUUGUGGCUUCAAGUGGGGCAAGAUGUACAUCCAAAUGUCUCUUAGCUUCAUGGCAUGUGCAUGGAUCAACACUCCUGCAGAAUCUAACAAAUAAUGUACUUCCAUCUCGGGAAAUUAUAGAAGCUUUCGGAUACAAUUAUGCAUUCCCAAUGACAGAGCUCUCAGAGAUUGGUAUACAUGUUAGUAGUCCAAUUAUAGAACUUGACAACAGUCCUCUACAGAAGCAUUCGACCAAAUUUAUACACACUUUCUCUAUACGGUUGUGGCCUCCCAGAAAAAUGGGAUGACAUUUAUACAUGUUUGAGCUCUUCAGUGCCAAUAUAUAUUGUAUAUCUGUGUGUAACGUAAGUAUUUACUAAAUUCAUAUACUCUGGUUUUGCAGUUCUUGGAAACAUAAAGUUGUUCAUGCUGGCUACAUCUCUUGCCAAUAAUUUUGAAAAUCAACAAUGUAAUAUUUGACAUAUAAUCAGAUUCUCUGCUUCAUUAGUCAUUCAAACCUUCUUUUUUAGAAAGCAAAGUUUAGGGAAAAUUUGGCGUGUCAAAUAGUUGGUCAUCUUUUUGAAUGAGGAUAAUAGACGACGGUUUUCAUCUUCCACCUGUGCCUUCUUUCAAGUUUCAACCUGAACUUUGUAGCAAGUGUUGCAUAAUAAAGUACUACGCCGUGUUUGGGUAAAAAGAUUUCGAUCUGAACUUUUUGGUCAAAGUAAAAAGGAAGAAUUUCGAAAAUUAAUGAUAAUAUGGUAAUUCCAUCAUCGUACUUUCGACCUAUUUAGUUUCAUCUCAGGUGCAGCACAUUCCCAUCUUUUAAAUUUGUUUUAAUAGUUUUUAUUUUUAUUUUUAAAAAUAAUGUAAUAUAUUUCCUUUACCUCUUCCUCAGCUCUCUCUCAUCUACAAUCUCAACCCUUAAUUAAUGAGAGGAAACACAUGUAAGUUAGGUCGUUUGUUUCCUUGCACCUAAGUUCAAUCCUCCUCAACCGUAAAUUAGAAUAAUUUUGGAUACCAAAUUGUCAAAACAAAAAAAAAAAAGUAAGGAGAAGAAAUGCUUUUUCUGAAUUUAUGAGAACAAGUCUCUAAAGAUCAGUUAAGCUCAACAAUACAAUUCAACUCUUAGGAGAAUUAUUUCAACGGCAUGUCACACACGCAUAAUAGCACACCCCAGCUGUCUAAAGAACCCAAAAAAGGACCAAUUAAUUAAAAAGAUAAAUAAACAAAACUGAAAUAAUGCAAAUAUGAAAGCAGCCGAAGUCUCUGACCAAAACAAAAGCAGCUGAACUUAACCCGGAAUGUUCCUGUUUAGACUUUAGACUUUGAGAAAUGCUAACAACUUUCUCUUUAACCUUCUCUUUUGGACCUUCUCUCUUCUCCUCAUGACAAGUGUCAUUUUCCUUACACUUAAAACAAUGUCAUUAAUGCAUCAAACAAGUUAGUUUUUGUUUUCCAAAUUUACCCUUUAAAAAUGUAUUGACUUUUAUAUUUCCUUCAAUUUAUUCAAAUUUUGUUACAACUAUUUUAGCACAUUGUUAAAAAUUAAAUAAGAAAAAAACAUAAGAAAAACGUCAUUUUUUAGAAUAUAAAAAAAAUAAAAUUUGUUACAUGACAUUGUUAUCAUCUUUAUUUUGUUUUUAACAAAACACACAUUCUCUUUGGAAUUUUUUUUUUAAAAAAAACUUCAGUUUUUAUAUUCUUAUUUAAUUUUUUAACAAGGUGAUAAGAAAGUUGUAAAACAAUUAGCUUGUUAUUAAAAUAAGUUAAUACAUUUAAUAAGGGUAAAUUUGGAAAACAAAAAUUAGUUUGUGUGAUGCAUUAAUGACAUUGUUUUAAGUGUAAGGAAAGUGACACUAGUUAUGAGAAGAAGAGAGAAGGUCCAAAGGAGAAGGCUAAAGAGAAGGUUGCUAGCACUCCCCUUUUUGGGUUUCUUUUUGUUAAAUUCCAGAUACACGGGUUAGCGAUCCACUACUAGCAACAUCUAUAUUGUCCCCAACUUAAUCACCUAUAAAGUCCAGUAUGUGUGAAAUUUUAUCACAAAAGACUUCGAUGAUAUUAGUAGUAUAACUAUUCAUUAUAUCUUGUAUUUAAUUUAGUCAAGUUCCGAUGUGAGACUUAUAUUCUUCAACACUUUUGACAUGGUUUUUGUGGCUCUCUGCUAGUACAAAACUCAGUUCAAUUUUAAUUCAAAUUUUCAAACAUCAAAAGCAUCAAAUAAUACAUGUUUUGUCACUACGAGAUCUAGCCCAAUGAAAAAAAACCUUGACGUGUAGACCAAUCAGGCUCGAAUCUCCAUGAGAUCUUGGUAAUGUGUGUGAGAAAACUCUUCCCCUUGCUUUAUAAUUUAGACUAUCGCUUGUAUUAAAAAAAUAAAAAUAUAUGUUUUGUCUUAAUUGACUUGGUAACUAAGCAACUAGGCUUAGAGUACUAUUUUUGCUCCUUGGUCCUUGCUCAACUAACUAGGUUUUAAUUUUGCCUUGUCUAUAUUGUCUUGUCUAUACGCGUGGACUUGUUCUUAUAUAUUGUUCUAUUUUUCUCAUGGCUGCUACAUGCUAUUUCUUUAAGUAGGUUCUUAACUUUUUUUUCCCCUUUAAAACCAGUAAAUUCCUUUCUCUUAAUCUUAAUUAUAAUUAGGUUAAGUUGACCUCCAUCCCUCCGUGUCGAUGGCUGUAGUGACUGCUCCAUCAUUCUACUUUGUUUCUAAUUUUUUAUUGUUCUUCUGUAUUUUAAUGCAUAUAAUUAUUUUAUAGCAUUGUCUUACUCGCAAGCUAUAUGUACUAAUUAAUCUUUUUUUGUGUGUGCUAAAGUUGUAUUAAUUAAUCAUUGCGGUGCACACAUGACCUGGCAUUAACAACAUAUUUUGCCUGAUAGAAAUCUAAUAGAAAGAAAAAAAAAUCCUGCAAGUUGAGCAUAUACAAGUAGAAUUUCCAAGAUUCCGAUCACACCUAUAUAUAUAUAUAUAUAUAUAUAUAUUUCAUUAAGGGAUCUUCAAAUAUCAUCUCUACAAAAAAUUACUUGAAUCCGAUAUCAUUUGACCACUCAAUUGGAUUAUUGAAAUUUUAGUACUUUCUUGAAGCACCGUGUUCAUUGAUUUUGUAGAGCACAAUUGAAUGUCGAAACGGUUUUUGAUUUGUCUAAUUUUUGGCAAGAAUGAUCUAUAAAUAUUGACUUAAAAAAUAAAUGGUUUGGAUUGUUGAAAGAAAAAAAAAUCGUAGAGAACCCUAAAGGGUGUCCCUUAAAUAAAACUAUUUGAAGAAUUCCUGGAUAAAAAGGGACCAUAUAUAUAUAUAUAUAUUUCUUUCUUUCUUUCUUUCUUUCUUUUGUUUGUUUGUUUUUGUUGGUUCUUUUCCUCUCUUUUUUUAUAAUUAUCCUUUAGAUCCUCUGAGAAAUUAUGUGAAUUUCCGAAAAUGAUAUAAUAUGAGCAAGUGAUGUUUAGUGAAUUAACUACAAAAGCCAUCGAUUUUUGAGGGUCGGAAAUAAAUUCUUGUCCACAAUAGAUUUCAGAAUGAUACAUGAUGGAGACAGUUUCAUUUAUUUUAUUUUAGUUUAGUCUUAGAAUAGCCGACAGUUUCAUUUAUUUAUUUAAAUGUACAUCUGUUUACAUACUUCACAAUAAUAUUAUAUCUUAAUAAAGUGUAUAUAAUAGUGAAAACAAUUAUGCAUGAUUUUAUUAUAUUUAAAUCGAAACAAUUAUGCCGACCAGUUUAUGAUUUCAUGUUUAUAUAUUCAUAAACUGGUCGAAUUGAAAUUUACUUCGAUCCGUUUUUAGAGGGUGUAGGACCAAAUGUCUCACUGCCACCGUACGGUGGCUGUUAGGCUUCUAGAUUAAUUCUUCGAUUGACAAUUUAAUUAAAUGGUAAUUCGUGUCUUAAUAUGUCUAGGCUUCACGAUUUCACGUCAAAAAUAAGGUCAGAAACUCGUUGGCCAUGGCAAAGUCAAGAGACUCAAAACCUAUCAUUUUCUAAUAGGGGUCAUAUCUUGUUUACGAUACUAUACAGAUACUAUACAAAGGAAGAUAUAUACCAUUCAAUUUUUCAUGUAUAACAUAUUGAAGAGGACUAAGGGCUAGUUUGAUAUUGUUGUGCUGUGAAAAUAAUCGCUGUCAGAUUUGCUGUGAGAGAAAACAGUUUGGCGUUCGGUAAACUUUUUGUUAAAAGUGUUGUUGGUACUAAUUCCUGCAUAAUCAAAAAAUAAUUCUUGCAUAAUCAUUAAACUCAGCACCUCUUCGAAACUGAUUCUCGCAUAAUUAGAAAAUGAAAGCACAUCAUUAGCUGCUUUCCCUUAUAGCUUUCUCUCACAACAAUUUUUAAUAAUAAGUAAUUUUCUCAUAGUUUACCAAACGGAUUGAGCUUCCCAAAAAAUUUUAAAAAUCACUUAUCACCCCAAAUAAGCAAUGCCAAACGGGCACUAAGAUUCUCACCAUGCUUCAAGCGAGUACAUGAAAUUCAACAAUUUAUUGUCUUGAUCAACUACGAAAGAAGAUUCGAAAUUGUACGACUUUUGUUUAAUAUUGGAAAAAAAAAAUACCAUUAGACCUUAAAUAUUUUAUCAUGUACUAAAACUACUUGGUCAACAAUUAAUAGGCCCCAUAUCGUAAACUUACAUACUUUAAGAAUAUUUAUCAUAUUAGCAUCAAUAUUUUUAUCAAAAGGUACAUGGUAAAAAUGUGUCUUUUGAAUUUAGAAAAGAGAUAUUUCGAAUUUAAAAUUUAUUACGAAAUCGAAAAGAUAAAAAAGACUAGACUAAAGUUACUAUAAUAAGUUUAUUGCCGAUUAUUUAGGAUAAUUUUGACAAUUCAUCCCUUUGAAAUGGGAUUCAAAUGUAAAUCACCUCCUACUCUUCUAGAAAUUCCUUUAUCUAUGUAUUUUAUAUUGUAAAUUUCACAGGAAAAUGCAAUUAAUGCAUGUGUUUCUUUGAAAACGGACAAAGAAAAAUGAUAAGGUCAAUUCAAUGGCCCGAUGAAAAGGGAAGCAAUUAUCUUAGAUGGGUUUGUUUGUAGACUUUGGAUUAGCAAUAUAUUAUUUUAGUAAGAAUAUGAUAAUCCAUUUGUCCUAAAUUCAAAAACACGUGGUUGAGUUGAGUGAAUCCAUCUAUUUUGUCAUUUUCGUUGUCUUCCACUUGUUAUUCUACAUGUUGGAAAACUUGGAAUUUGGAUCCAAUCAUAUGGGUUUUGUUUGCGUAUCUCACUCCCUAACUCCGUUAAGAUGGGCACCAGUGUUUCUGUCGUUCAGUUUGUUUUAUAAGACUGAUAUGUAUUAUGACCUAAUCACAUGCAUAUCUAAUUAGAGUUUUUCUAUUUAAACCUCGUACUUUUCUAUGUUCAUCUUAUUAAAAAGAAGUCAUCUAAUACUUAACCCUAAUACAUAUAUACAUACAUCCCACCACUCUUCAUAUUAAGUUGUAAGUAUCUAAAGAGAACCUAGAGUGAACUUUUUUAUGGUAACCGGAGUUGUGGGGUGUGGGGUGUGGGGUGUGAGUUGUAAAACUUUUCCCUAAAGAUCUAAUGUGUAUCACAACAAAUUCUGAUAUUCUAAGAUUCUCAUUUAUGCAUUUUUUUCUCUCUUGUAGACAAUCUAAUGCUGAACAUUAUAAAGCUGUUGUUAAACAAGACAACAACCCUCCAUAUAGGAAAUUUUGUGGAUCAUCCAAGAAGUUGGUUUUCUGUUGUUCAUCUCUCACAAAUGCAGAGAGGGUAAAGAGCUGCUUAGAGUGUUUGCUUUGUUCCUUGUUUCUUUCUUUUCCUUUAAGAAACUUAAAUUGUCUGAAGAAUUCCAUUACUCCUGGUUGGCUUGAACUGCAAGAAUCUGUUUCUGGAUUUGAAAGAUUAUCUAGACUUGCAGUUUUAGUGGGGUGUGGGGUGUGGCUGUGAGGUUGAUGAGUUUUUUUGGGGGUGUGUGUGUUCUGAUGGGUGUGUAUUUAGGGGUAGUUUGGGAAGAUAGUGCGGUUUGCUUAAAAAUUUUGAAAUUUUGAAUUAGAAAUUGGGGUGAACUUAGAAUAUGGGGUGAACAAAGAGAAGUAUGGGUUUUAAAUAGAAAAACUUUCUAAUUAUAGGGAAUUAAUCAUUUUAUCAUGAAGAACGUAAACUAAUUCUAUACUGCCUCGUUUCAUGUGCAAUCAAGGCAUAAUAUGGAUAUUCUUGUCUAACUUGGAGGAUGACGAAAGACUAUUCAUAAGAGGUUGAUGACUAAAACUUAUCCCUCAUAAAUUAGCUUUGGAAUCAAUGGCCCGUUUAAGUUUAGUGAUAAUUUUGUCUUAUAGUAAGUUGGAAGAAGUCUCAGGUCUAACUCAUAUGAAUGUAAGGACAAUAUAUAUUUGUGAUGAGUUUGAUACCUCAUUGUGAUUGGACUUAUUAUGACAACGUGAUUUUGUUGUGGGUGUAUUAUUUUGUUGUAAAAAUAUCUAAAUAUCCUAUCGUUUUAUAGUGUAAUUUAUCCUAAAUUUCUAGAGCCAAACUAAUGCAUCUCAUCGCCGUGAGAUUCUCACGUUCUAAUUUGCAAUUUAUCAAUUGGGUAAUGGAAGCAAUUUUUAAGAACAAAGUGCUAUAACGAGUUAAGAGUUCUAUGGAUCUCAAGAUCUUAAUGUGCAUGUUGAAUACUAUUUUGUACCUCCAGAAGUCUUUCAUUAAUUGGUCCGUUAAUAUAUAUUUUUCAGCAUAAGUGAUGGUCUAAAUUAAAAGGGAGGAAGUUUCUCACAUACAAACACAAAUUGAUGCCAUGAGAUUCAAACUUGAGAAUUCUAUUCUGCAAGUCAAGAUCCUUUUUCAUUGAGUUAGACCAUUUACAAUUCAUCCAUUAUUAUUCUAACUAGAAUCCAAGCAGUCCCCCAUUUUGCACUUCCCCCCAUCUUAAUCUGCCCUUGAGUGUGGUUCUCGUUUUUGCCUUUUUUGGACUGGGAUCUCUUCCAUCCAUAAUAAUUAAUAGACGCUUUUGACCACAUAAAUAUUGAAGCAAAAUAUAUACUUCAUAAAUAAAAAAAUUUGGAAAGCCGUGCAAAUCAUGGGCCACAUUAACCUAGAUAACACUGUGUGUCUCAAUGAUAUAGAACUGCAUAAUUUUCAUAUGCAGAUGUACAAAUAAUUCAAAUCCCUUGUGCCAUCGAAUUAUAAUUGAUUUGUUUAUACAUAAAGGAAGCCUUUAUGAGGACCGAAAAUGUGAUCUCCAUAUGUUCUUGGACACGCAAAACUUCUUUGCACAAAUCAAUAACCCACAAACUGUUGUGUGCCCUUUAUGCAAGGUAAUGUAUAUUAUAUGACAAUUAAUAUUUGUAUCCUACCAUCGCUUUCAAAAAUGAAAAUAUUUGUAUGAAACUUAUGCAAUAAGAAAAAAAUGGGUCUUAAUUGCACUUUUUAAAAUGACUAAAAAUUUACAUACUGCGUGAUGAGUGUUAUAAUCGUACAAAUGUAUUGUACAAGUUGAUGUAUGUGAGUUUUACUUUUUUUUUAAAAAAAACAAAAUUGUACUUAUCAAUGUACUAUAUGGAUUGAUGCAUGUCGCAAAAUUAUGUUUGUUUAUAGGUACAAAUUUUUGUGUUUUGGUUUUACGGCAUGCAUAGGGACGGGGUUACUUUAUCAUGGGCUCUAUUUCAACCUAAUCGUUUUUGCGAGAAGGAUGUAAGUUGAUUGAUCUGAUGAUCAAAGUGUAGAGUGGCUCGUCUAAUCCUUUUGGCUUUUGCCUGAUGCGAUUAUACUUUGUUACUUUGAUAUCAAUAAAUUUCUAUCGGUUCAAAACCUAAAAAAAAACCUAUAAAUGUUUAACGUUUCUCUCUAGUUGUAUCUGGCCUUGUUAUGAUGCCUUGAAAUUCCUAAAUGAGUUGAAGGGAGUGGAUACAUUACACAUAUAUGGCACUGACUGAGACUAUACAUCUAACAACUGGUAUAGCAAGAUAAAGUCGUAAACGGCGACCUAGAACCAAAAUGGUUCAAGACUUCUGGCCUGCCAGAGUCAACCUUUAUGACUUGACCUAAUAAAACUAAGUUUUUAUGACUUUCUUCACCUUAUAAAUAACACAAAGGCCUAUGACCCUUCAGCUUAAUUAUCGAACCUUCUCUUGCACUUGCACCCAUAUUUCAAAACUGCUAUAGACCAUCGCUUCUGCACUGAGGUUACAUAACAGAGCACAACAAAAUUGAUUGAGGAGCUAAGCUAGAGUUGGAAGAAGAUCACAAAAUCAUGGACAGCAACUACACCAGCAGUAAGGAUGAUCAUCAAUAUAUUGAUGAAGAUGAUGUUCAACUUCCAGGAUUUCGGUUUCACCCGACAGAUGAAGAACUUGUGGAGUUCUAUCUUCACCGGAAGGUUGAGAAGAAAGCAAUCAGCAUAGAGCUCAUCAAAUCCAUUGACAUCUACAAGCAUGAUCCUUGGGAUCUUCCAAGUAUGCAUACAUAUAUAUAUGUCCCUAUAAUGAAUUUUUACUUUCCCAUGAAUUUUUACUUUCCCUCUUUUUUAUUCUCUGGUAUAUCCUUAAUUGGAAGAAGAAGGAGACAAGAAGAUAGCUAGGGUUAAAUUGCUUCAAAAACUCAAAGGAUACUGAGCAAAAGUUGGCCUAGAAUAUAUAUUGGUUGCACUGGUUCCCAGUACUAGCUAGUUCUUUAUUUCUAAUUUAACUACUAUAUAUAGUUUAUACUAUCAAGAAAAAUUACUUUAGAAUAUAAAAUAUAUGAUCAGCAAACAAUUUCUGUAACCCUUUUAGUUUUUCCAUGUAUUGCUAUAAACCUAGCUCUACUAUAAGUGCCGCAGCUAGCUCCAACUAUAGAUCUUGUUCUUACAAACAUAUGGGUCAAUUAAUUUGUGAUUAACUUCAAUAUUAUGUGUGUAUGCGCAGAAGCGAUAAAUACAGCAGGAGAGAAGGAAUGGUACUUCUUCUGCAAAAGAGGGAGAAAGUACAAGAACAGCAUCAGACCCAACAGAGUUACAGGCUCUGGAUUUUGGAAGGCAACUGGGAUUGACAAGCCGAUACAUUCCCAUGGAGGACAAGGCCAUGCCUGCAUUGGCCUCAAGAAAACAUUGGUUUACUACCGUGGAAGUGCAGGCAAAGGCACCAAAACCGAUUGGAUGAUGCACGAAUUUCGCCUUCCCAAUCCGGCCAGUUCUAAUGAAUACAUUCACCGCAGCUCCAACACUAAGAACAUCAGUAGUACUGAUCCUCAACAAGAAGCUGUAAGUGAAAAAUCUGCGUCCUAGUUUCCUAUACCCUUUUAUUUUUCAAAUUAAUUACAAUUUUGUUCAUGUGCGAAAUGUCACUGUCUGAUAAGAUAAGAUGCUUGCUAGGCUGUGAAUCCCUAAAUUAUUGUUCAUUUUUUAUUUUGCCUAAAUACGUGUUCCAAAUUCAUAAUCUAGCAACAUAAAGAAUUUGUCCGCCAAUAUAAGUCAGGCAUAAAUUAAAAAACGUUUCUUAUGCAUUUCGCAUCUCACAUUAGUACUUUUCAUAAUUUAUCAAGAAAGUACUAGGGCUAGCCAGGCUGAAAUUAACCUUAACCAUAAACAAGUCAUGAUGUCAAAGUAAACUCAUAAUAAUCCAUGACCUACAGUAGCUAAAUAAAAUUUUCCUUUCCCAUUUGACCAUAUAUAAAGGCUUAUGUUCUGAUGGAUGCAAUGGUUCACUUGUUUCAGGAAAUAUGGACAUUAUGCCGGAUAUUCAAGAGAAAUGUCUCGUACAAAAAAUAUACAGCAGAUUGUAGAGGGCUAUCCGGAGCUAAACGCCAUCCAAUGGACACAGUGAGCUCCAAGAAAUGCACAAGUGAUCAAGAUGACCUAGAUCAGUCUAACAAUUACAUCAGUUUUGGUACUUCAGACAAUAUUAUUUGCUACGAAGAGAAGAAGCCUGUUGUGAACCAUACCAACAUGAACAACUUCAAUGGAAGCAACCAGCAGCUGCAUGCAGUAGGCCAGUUGAGCUCCAACAUGCCUGCUACAUAUCCGUACAUGGAGACUUUCUCAAACUUUUCGUAUCAAGAUCUUGAGAAUGAGCUUUUGAAUGAGAACUGGGAUGAGCUUAGAUCCGCCGCCGUCCAUCUUGCUUUUGAUCCAACGUUUCUGGUGUAAAUGGAAUAAUUAAUGUUGCAGUGGGGGAGUGCUAGAGUGUAGGAGUUCAUGUUUUGACGAACUGAUAUAUUUAAUUUUAUCUUGUUGCCUUGUUUAUAAAAUUUGGAUGUAUUCUAAUAUUGUAUGAAUUAAUUCCUACAUAUAGAAUCUAGCGCACAUGCAAUCUGAGGGCUUUUGAGAAAAUGUUGAAGGUCGUCAGGGGGGCUGCUGCAAAUUAAAAGAGCCAGGUUGUUCAUGUCGCUUGAAGCUUCAACAUUUGGAAAACCUUUUUAUAUAUAUAUUUUAUUAAUUCUUGGUUACAUACAUAAACGUGCAAGAACUCAAUCUAAGGCUCAACUCAAGGUCUUAUUUUAUGUCGUUCAAGUACAUCGAAGAAAAUCAAACCUUACUAAUUUAGGUCGUGUUAGCAUGAUUCAUUUAAAUUAGGCUCAGUUCAGCUGUGCUCUUGAAUUAUUUUAUAUGAAGACCCUGGGGAAUUAAACUAGAACACAUGCAUAAUUACUAGACAUUAUAAACAUUAACAAGAACUGCCUCAAGCCAAUGGAGUUUCGCCCAAUGAAAAAAGGCCUUGAUUUGCAUAUCGAAGGUCUCAAGUUUGAAUACCUCGACAUCAUAGUUGUGUAAGUAUGUGUGAAAAUUCCCUUUAUAUAAUUUUAGACUAUCACUUGUACUUUAAAAAAAAAAAACAAAGACUGUUUCAAACCCUCAAUUCUUAAGCAAAAGUAAAACAAAAAAUUUGGUGAGUAAAUGAGUGUUGCAUUGAAAUUGCUAGACUCUAUAAUAUAAUUUGUGGGAACUUUUUUUAUGAAAAACAAAAACAAAAACAAAAAAUAUCUCAUGAAUGCAUGAAGAGCAGAUGAUUAUCCCACUUUAACGGUUUGUUUAGCUAGGGUUCUACGGCUCCCAUCUCAUCCUUAUUGAGAAUUGACAUUUUAAACUAAAAAAAAUUCAAGAACAAGAAUGUGAAAUAUCAGUUGUAUAGGAUUCGUUGGAUUAAGAUCAUCACAUAUAUAUAUAUAUAUGAUCAGAAGUUACUCUCAUUAAUAUUUUUCAAUUUUCGCCUAUCGAGUUUCCUUAGAGCACAAAAAGAACAAGUACUCUUUCAAAUUGCUUUGUAAUUUAAAUAUACACAUAACGUUCGAUUUUUUUCAAUUUAUUUCUUCAAAUUGUUUCAACUAUCUAUUUACAUGUACUAUCUAAUAUUAUCUAAUGAAGAGGUGCUAUACCUAUAUGGGUUCCAUCUCUAGAAAUAUAAAGGGACAUAAAAUCGUCUCUAUUGUCAUUAUACCAGUGUUUUCAGGAAGGAAUAGCAUAACGUCAUAUAUUGCAAAAAUAAAGUACAUAAUCUACCAUUAGGCACGAAUGAUAAGAAACAAUGCUAAAAUCACUCUACGAUGAUAUAAUAUAAAAAUGUGAGACCCAUUGUAAUAAUUAGGCACGUAGAUACAUUUUUAGUGUCAUAUUAACAAUAGGGGACCAAGUACGAACUCAUAAAAGUCUCUAAUACUACAAUAAACACUAUCUUCCAUACCAAUAGAACACAAAGGGGAUUGAUAGAACUCAAUGUCUUCUAAUCGUUUACCUAGUAUAUAUUUGAGAAUUCAAUAGAUUCUAGAUAAGUUUGAUUCAAUGAGUAUUGAGAAGUGGACACACUUAUUAGUAGCUUUAGACCCAAAACCAAUUGAAAAUCCAUCUAAAACUCGCACUUCAUUUUCGAAAUCAUAUGUUUUGUUUCGGAACCGAAUGAACAAAAAAGGGUGGCAAAAACACGAGGUUUGUUUUGUCAAGGCUUUGGGCUCACUUGUUCAAAAUCCAAUGAGUUUCAAGCCCAAAUGGAGUUCCAUUUUCAACCCAUUACCACUUACCAAUCCAAACCCGAAGACCCACUGACCCAAAAAGCAAUGAGGAAGAAUUGAAGAAUUGCAUACAAGCAGCAAUUGAAGAAUUGAACAAGUCACGGAGUGGACCAGACUGUUAAUGUUGAUGUGAAGAGGAAGAAGAAAGAGAGAGACGGAGGAGGAGGUCGCGUGGGUCUGGUGCUCCGGUGAGUUUCCUUUGCCGGAUCUAAAACGAUGUCGUUCCAUUCCAGUAAAACUUGUAUAUGAUGGUUUUUAUUUGAAAGAAAAGAUGUAUUUAGUAGAAUUGACCACAAAUGAAGCAUUGAAGCAAAGCUUUUUUUAAGAACCCAGAAAAUUAUUCUGGGCUUUUAGACAAAUUACAUAUGCAAUUCUUGCCCGGAUUGGUUUUUGUAAUAUUAGAAAAGAUAACUGAUGAUGUAUUGAUAUGCAAUGGAGAAGUCAAGAUCUUGCAAUGGUCAAAGUUGAGAGCUUUAGACGCUUAACCAAUCUGUGAUUUUAUGUUCAGAUGUUAAAGCACUAUUGGGUCGCUUUCUUUGUGGUGGUUUCAUGGGUCGUCAACUUCAGAGUUUUAGAUGCCAGUGCUGGUGAUGCUGAUCCACUUUAUAGGUAAGUGUUUUUUUCUUCUUUAGAUAUUUUCCUAUAGCUUUGUACUGCUAUUUCUCUAGCUUUCUUUGUGCUCUUUUGCCACAGCUACAUGUAUUGUUUUUGAGGUUUUUGUAAUAAUUCCUCAUUGUUUUGCUUAAAAGACUCUAUAUUUUCACCUCUUACCGAGGUUUUCUGUAGCCUACUCAGGCUUUCUUGCCCUGAGUCAGCCAAAGGACUGAAAUUUCAGCUGAAGGGCUAUCUUGCUCCUCUUCACUUGAAGUUCAAAUGGAAAGGGGCGGUUGUCAUCCACACCACUCAAGAGUGUGGGGCCCACAUUUGGAUGCUCCCCAUUCACUAGCAAUUAGCGCUCCUUAUUUGAAGUUCAAUAUAGAGAGCAUUCUUUUCCCUUGAGUUUUUGUGCUUGCAAUUCUAGAUGGUAACUCACUAAUCAAUAAUUUGGUGGAAGAAUUAAUACACAAUGAGGAUUCUUUGCUUGAAAAAGCUGCUCAUCAAACUAACUUACCAAUCCUUUGUGUGACAUAAUUCUUAUCGACACACUUGCAAUUCUUUUUUCCUUUCUAUUUCUAUUGCUACAAUGGCAUUUCCCCUCCCUAUUAUUACCCAAGCUUUAGGGAUCUUAAAUCACGCCAACCUUAGGGACAGGGUACAUGCCAUCAGAUCCAUAGGUCCUUGACUGCAUGCACUCUGGGUUGCUCGAAUUACAAUAUAUUUGCUUUUGGUCUUAUAGUUACAUACGGGUUACAUGUUUGUAAACAAAUUAAAAUAGGAACCUACUGAGUUUCUAAAUGGGAAAAGUUGUAUCUGAACUUUCCUUCCAAAUUCUGGUCUUCAAUAACCAUAGCAAGUAGGCAUGGAGCUUAUAUGUGAUUGCAGAACUAGCACCUAAAUGUUCUUUUCAUGUCAAAUAAACAGCGUUAUAACAAUUAUAGGGUUUUAUACCAUAGGUAUUUAUAUCUUUGUAAUCUGUGCUCUACAUUCUGACAAAGUGCAUUCUACAUAAUUAUGUUGGAAAACCUUAGUGGUCUGAAAAAUUAAUGGAAACAGGGUUAUGCCCUCUCAAGCAUUUAAGAGCAUCCUUGUAAGGAAAUCUCAAAAUUUUUUUGAAUUUGUAUUUACUAUAAAUCAAUCACAAUAACCAUUCAAUGAGGCUGCACAAGCCUGACUUAGGGUGAUCAAUCACCCAUAUGGAAUACACAGAUGAACAUGCCAUUUAUAUAGAGUUAGCUCACAACCUUUAUUCACAAACAAAAACGAAUCAAACAAUUAUUUGUUCAUUAAGUAAUGUACAAACAUAGCAAUCUUUUAUCUUAUGGAAUAAAUCUGUAUCUUGCGUCUCCUUGUCAGCUGGCUAGCUAACAAAUGUUAACAAUUAAUUUUUGUUAUGUGAACAGGCUUUCUUCAUUUGUGUCACCUAUGAAUCAAUAACCAUGUGUGGUAUGGUGUUUUUGUUAAAAAGUUCACCUAUCAGCCCCGUUUUAUAAUGUUAAAAUAGAGGAAUUUCCCAUUGCAACUGCUAUCUAUUUGGAACUAUGUAAAUUCUUAAAAUUCCUCUCUUGAAGUUGCUUUUUGAUAAGUACCUCUCUUGAAAGUAAUCUGUAAUAAUUUGUUCAUGGCUAAGUUGUAUAAGUUCCUCGAGUGCAGAUUCUUGUAAUUUAUUUGGUGGAAUCAACAUUUUGGGCCAUGUUGUAAAAUGAAUUAAUUUUGGUCAUUUUGCCUACACUUGUAACCUGUCAUGUAUAUUUAACAUUGUGAAGUUGGAAUCUUUUUAUAUAGUUAAUUGCAAUUUUAGGGCUUGUAUAAAACAAUGUGGAGAAACCGGAUGUGUAGCGCAGAGAUGCUUUCCACAGUGCAAUUUCUCUUCUGACGGGGUCUCCGUUGAUGGUCCAUGGUACAUGCAAGAACCUCUUUAUAUGCAGUGGAAACAAUGGGAUUGCCAAAGUGAUUGCCGUUACUAUUGUAUGCUUGACAGAGAGAACAAAAGAGAAGCAACUGGUCAUGAUCCAGUCAAAUAUCAUGGUAAAUGGCCCUUCAAGCGUGUUUACGGGAUCCAGGUUUGCUUUUUUGGGAGGCUAUAUGCCUUGGCCACAUUUUCUUUUACAAUAGCUUUAAUGUUAUCAUGGUUUGUGCUAUUUGACAUGUUAUCCAUUUAUUUAGGAGCCUGCUUCUGUAGCUUUCUCUGUGCUCAACCUUGCAAUGCAUUUCCAUGGUUGGAUAUCCUUUUUCAUCCUUUUAUACUAUAAGUUGCCUUUGAGACGGGAUAAGAAGACAUACUAUUACUUUGCCAGUUUGUGGCACAUCUAUGCUCUCUUAUCAUUUAACUCCUGGUUCUGGAGUGCUGUGUUCCAUAGUAGGUAAGCUUUGCUCUUUCCUUCUGUAUUUUUUCUGAUGUGGGAAUGAAUAUCUGCAUGCUGUUUUCUGUUUUUAUUAAGGUUAUAUCUUAUUUAUAUGAAGUACAUUGCAAGAUAUGUGUGCUUUUACUAUGCUUUCAGACUCUCAUUCUAGGUCCAAGGUUUAGUUGGGGUCAUGGGCACUAAAACUUCAACGUUUGAAGGNNNNNNNNNNNNNNNNNNNNNNNNNNNNNNNNNNNNNNNNNNNNNNNNNNNNNNNNNNNNNNNNNNNNNNNNNNNNNNNNNNNNNNNNNNNNNNNNNNNNCUUGGGUACUCGCUCAUUCUGUCCAUACUAAGAAGUUUUGAUGUGAAGGAUGAUGCUGUCAGAGUGAUGGUUGCUGCUCCACUGCUGGCUUUUGUAACCACCCACAUAUUGUAUCUCAACUUUUACAAACUGGAUUACGGUAUGACCUUGUACUAAUUUUUUUUUUCUUUUUCGUUAACAUAUAUAGUUGGAGAGAGAGAGAGAGCAGUGACCUAUAUAUAGUUUAUUUACUUGAAUAGCAGUGACCGUGGAUCACAUAGGUGCUACGCUACCUGUUACUCCAAGAAUGUAAGCUAGUAGGAAGUGACAAGUGCUGGAUGAUAUCUGUUUCUCAACAUUCAAACUGACCAUGCCCGUGAAUUAAUUUUUUAUAUUAGAUGGAAAGUCUUUAUAUUGGACAUGAAAUAUCUUGCUUUGAUUUCACUAUAGAUCACUGAUUAUCCUAGAAAGUUGAAGUGUUAGGAAAUGCAUAAUUUCCUUUAUUUGGACAACUGAUGGGUUGUCUUCUCUCUUUCUGUGACAUAAUUUCCUAGUUUUCAUGAUAACAAUCUGACUUAAUUAAUCAACACAUUGCAGGGUGGAACAUGCAAGUUUGUGUUGUCAUGGCAGUAGUACAACUUCUUGUUUGGGCGAUUUGGGCUGGUGUCACUCGCCAUCCAUCACGUUGGAAGCUGUGGCUGGUAGUAGUGGCAGGUGGCCUUGCAAUGCUCCUAGAAAUUUAUGAUUUCCCUCCAUAUCAAGGGUUUGUGGAUGCUCAUGCGGCCUGGCACGCCACCACUAUUCCCCUAACUUACGUUUGGUGGAGUUUCAUCAGAGAUGAUGCCGAGUUCCUAACCUCGAACCAAAUGAAGAGGAUGAAAACCUCUAACCUUGCAAAGAAGGCAAAAUAGUUGUUUCUAUAUGGUAUGACCCUGUGAUGCUUGAGCACGUAGCCCUUGUCUCCAUUAGCUACUGGAAAUUGCAGUUUCCCCCCUUUUUCUUCAGUCUAUCUGUAUUGCAAAUUGUGACAGUUGCGCUAGGGUACUGAUGCACAAAAAAGACCAUCAGAAGACCUUUAUUUAUUUAUUUAUAUUUUAUUUAUCUCAUCUUUUAGCAAUACUUCACCUAUUCACAAUAAAUGGUCACUCCAUCUAUCGCCAGCAACACAACCAGAUUAAGAAAUGAACAUUGAAACCUUAACCAGCAACAUAGCACAUAAGCUAAAGUGGGAAAAAUGCAUUCAGACCCACACACACACACAAAAAAAAAAAAAAAAAACCAAGAAAUCUUGAAAUUGUGAAAAAACAAAACAAUAAAUACCAAAGAGAGAAAAAAUUCUAAUUUCUCACUCUUCCAUUGAAGACAAAUUACUUCAUAUUUAAAAUUUAGUGGGUUUUGGGUUAAGGUUGGCAUUCAUAAUUCUUUUCAUUUUUCUUGGAUUGCUUGAAGUUGUUUGGGUGCUCUGAUCUUAUUUGCCUGGAGUUCGAUCAUAUCUUAUCUCGACCUAUUUUCAUGGUUAAUAUCUUUAUAUUUAACACCAAACAACAAAUAUAAAAAGAGUUUUAGUACAAAAACAAGACAGUCUCGUAAAUUGUAGAAGGAAAAUUAGAGAGAGAAAAAGAAUUAGGGAAGGAACAGAUGGACGAUCACUCAAAUUUUAGGGAAAACUUGCAGAGAAGGGAAAAGAAGAAGGAAAAAGAACACUUAGACAUGUUAGAGACGUUAGGUUGGAGUAAUUGGAGUUAGUCAACUUAUGGUGAUUUAUUUUUAUUUUUUAAUUAAGUGUAAAUUGGGUUUUUUAUUUUGUGGAUGAUGUGUCCGGCUUACAUCCCUUAGAUUAAAUUUUAAUGAGGUAUCAUGUGGAGAACGAAAGUAAAGUAGAUCAUAACAGAGAAAAUCAUAGCAGAGGAUUCGGAUCCUUAUAACAUAUGUAUUAGGUUUAAAUGCACCAUCGUAUUAUAAUUUGAAUGAACUUUUAACAUUAUGUAAAUCUGUUGCGCAAUGUUACUAUUACACCUAAAAAUUACUCGUUGAUAACGUUUGAAUGUGAACUUUCCCCUUUUUUAGAGUUUUUGCUGUGUUUACCUCCAUUGAAAAUAGAUUAAAUCAAUCAUUUAAGUUGAGUUUAUUUUAUUAACUUUGUGUUGGCCUUGACAAGUUGAAAAUUUCAAGAUUAUUUUCAAUCUCAAGACGAGUUUCAUUGGACAUUGUUUUUUUAUAAUCCAGACUGGACCUUUGGCCCAUUUACAAAGCAAAGCCCAACCCAGUUUAUUACAAAACCCUAGAUAACGAAGACCUCUUUUCACAACCGCAUAUACCUCGGUCUUACUAUUUUAUUCUCUCUCAGCUCCUUUUGUAUAUAAAGGAGAAGUCUGAGAUUCCACCUCCAUUUUCUUUCGCCUGCCGCCUCGCUUGCUGCUUGUCACCUGGUUCGCUCUCUCUCUCUCUCUCUCUCUCUCUCUCUCUCUCUACUAUAUUUAGAUCUGAAGCUUCUAAGCUGAAGCUUGCUUUGAAGUAAUUAGCUUGCUUGCUUAUUUCAAUUAAAUGAUUCUCGUACCUGUUUUACGAUUUUUCUGGCUUAAGAUCUGUAAUUAGACGGUCAAAGUAGUAUAAUCUUUUGUACUAUAUGAUUUGAAAUGGAUUAGAUUGAAUUUUCUUUUGCUUAGUUGCUGCUCAUAUAAUUUAGCCGACUUUUUUAUUCAUUCUUUUUUAGCUUUUUUUUUCAAAUAACCCAUAUCAAAUUUAAACGAAGAUCGUAUAGAUAUGGAUGCAUACACACAUACCAGAUUUAAACAAGUAUCUUAUAUAUUUACUUGCAUAAACACAUAUGUAUGUAUCAAAAUACCUGCAAAAUUACUUUCUUACUAUGCUUUUGGAUUUCCUUUAAUUGGUGGGGAAUUUUGUAACUGUUAUGGCUCUUGUUACUUUGUUCUUGUUCAUUUAUCUAAUUAUGAUGGUUUUACUAUUUUUGUGGACAGAUACUAAUUAUAUUUUUGGAGGUGACAUUUGAAGACUAGUCAAGAUGGUAAGAUACUUGUUUCAUCAGUUCAGUGGGUUGCUGGGAAACUACAUUAUUUCCUUAAUUUUAAUUGAGUUAUAUUUUUCAUAUGUACAGGUGAAGUUCACAGCUGAGGAGCUCCGUAGGAUUAUGGACUACAAACACAACAUUCGUAACAUGUCUGUUAUUGCGCAUGUUGAUCACGGUAUAUAUAAUGUUACUUAUUUGGCUUACCAAAUAUCAAUCUGAAAUGAUGUUUUGUUUACAAGUAUAGAGCAUUUAUACUGGCUUUAAAUGAUUGUAUCUGUUCCCAAGCUUGAAUAUCAUAAUUAUCAAUUAUGGUUUCAAGGCGCAGCUAAAGGAGUGGCUGAAUUUUUAUGUAUAAGUAGGAUAUUAAUGCAAUUGUUAACUUCGUAAAAACAAAAAUUUACUGAAGCCCACUGAGGCUUGGACCAUAUUUGAUUUAUUUGCUUCUUGUUCUGUUGUAUCUGUGGUUGCAUGAUCAAGUAAUAAUGUUAAAAUUUUCCUCCUCUCAGGGAAGUCAACCCUUACCGACUCCCUUGUUGCUGCUGCUGGUAUCAUUGCACAAGAAGUUGCUGGUGAUGUCCGCAUGACAGAUACCCGUGCAGAUGAGGCAGAGCGUGGUAUCACAAUCAAAUCUACUGGUAUCUCUCUCUACUAUGAGAUGACUGAUGAAGCUUUGAAGAGCUACAAGGGGGAGAGAAACGGAAAUGAGUACCUCAUCAAUCUCAUUGAUUCCCCUGGGCACGUUGACUUUUCAUCUGAAGUCACAGCUGCCCUUCGCAUUACUGAUGGUGCACUUGUGGUGGUUGAUUGCAUUGAGGGUGUUUGUGUCCAAACAGAGACUGUGCUUCGUCAAGCCUUGGGAGAAAGGAUCAGGCCUGUUUUGACUGUUAACAAGAUGGACAGGUGCUUCCUUGAGCUCCAGGUCGAUGGAGAGGAGGCUUACCAAACAUUCCAGAGGGUUAUUGAGAAUGCUAAUGUUAUUAUGGCUACAUACGAAGACCCUCUUCUUGGUGAUGUCCAGGUCUAUCCAGAGAAAGGAACAGUUGCCUUUUCUGCUGGUUUGCACGGAUGGGCUUUUACUCUGACCAACUUUGCCAAGAUGUAUGCAUCCAAGUUUGGAGUUGAUGAGUCAAAGAUGAUGGAAAGGCUCUGGGGUGAGAACUACUUUGACCCAGCUACCAAGAAAUGGACCAGCAAGAACACUGGUUCUGCUACCUGCAAGCGUGGUUUCGUUCAGUUCUGUUAUGAACCCAUCAAGCAGAUUAUCAACACCUGCAUGAAUGAUCAGAAGGAGAAGUUGUGGCCCAUGUUGACAAAGCUUGGUGUGACGAUGAAGAGUGAUGAAAAGGAGCUGAUGGGGAAGGGGUUGAUGAAGCGUGUCAUGCAGACCUGGCUACCAGCCAGCAGUGCCCUAUUGGAAAUGAUGAUCUUUCACCUUCCCUCUCCUUCAACUGCCCAGAGAUACCGUGUUGAGAACUUGUACGAGGGUCCCCUUGAUGAUCAAUAUGCAAAUGCUAUCAGGAACUGCGAUCCUGAAGGGCCUCUUAUGCUCUAUGUAUCUAAGAUGAUUCCCGCAUCUGACAAGGGUCGAUUCUUUGCCUUUGGUCGUGUCUUUGCUGGUAAAGUCCAGACAGGUUUGAAGGUUAGAAUCAUGGGUCCAAAUUAUGUUCCUGGAGAGAAGAAGGAUUUGUAUGUUAAGAACGUGCAGAGGACUGUUAUUUGGAUGGGAAAGAAACAAGAAACUGUUGAGGAUGUUCCUUGUGGUAACACUGUUGCCUUGGUCGGUCUUGAUCAGUUUAUCACCAAGAAUGCUACGUUGACAAAUGAGAAGGAAGCGGAUGCUCACCCCAUUCGUGCUAUGAAGUUCUCUGUUUCACCUGUUGUGCGUGUUGCUGUUCAAUGCAAGGUGGCUUCUGACCUUCCCAAACUGGUUGAAGGUCUCAAACGUCUGGCCAAGUCUGAUCCUAUGGUUGUCUGUUCCAUUGAGGAAUCCGGUGAGCACAUUAUUGCUGGUGCUGGUGAACUUCAUCUUGAGAUUUGUUUGAAGGAUCUACAAGAUGAUUUCAUGGGUGGAGCUGAGAUUAUAAAAUCUGACCCCGUUGUGUCUUUCCGUGAGACUGUCCUGGAGAAGUCUAGUCGUACUGUGAUGAGCAAGUCACCCAACAAGCAUAACCGUCUGUAUAUGGAAGCUCGACCCUUGGAGGAAGGUCUUCCUGAGGCCAUUGAUGAUGGCCGUAUUGGCCCAAGAGAUGAUCCCAAAAUUCGUUCCAAGAUCUUGGCUGAAGAGUUUGGUUGGGACAAGGAUCUUGCUAAGAAAAUCUGGUGUUUUGGCCCUGAGACCACCGGUCCUAACAUGGUGGUGGAUAUGUGUAAGGGAGUUCAGUACCUGAAUGAAAUUAAGGACUCUGUUGUUGCUGGUUUCCAGUGGGCUUCAAAGGAAGGUGCAUUGGCAGAAGAAAACAUGAGGGGUAUUUGCUUUGAAGUCUGUGAUGUGGUUCUUCAUGCUGAUGCCAUCCACAGAGGAGGUGGUCAGGUCAUUCCCACUGCUAGGAGGGUCAUCUAUGCUUCCCAGCUCACUGCCAAGCCAAGGCUCCUUGAACCUGUAUAUCUUGUUGAAAUCCAAGCUCCAGAGCAGGCUCUUGGUGGUAUCUACAGUGUUCUUAAUCAGAAACGUGGGCACGUGUUUGAGGAAAUGCAGAGGCCUGGUACACCACUCUACAAUAUCAAGGCAUACCUCCCCGUCAUUGAAUCUUUUGGGUUCUCUGGUCAACUGAGGGCUUCGACUUCAGGGCAGGCCUUCCCACAAUGUGUCUUUGAUCAUUGGGAGAUGAUGUCGUCUGAUCCAUUGGAAGCUGGAUCCCAGGCUUCACAGCUUGUUACAGAUAUCCGUAAGAGGAAGGGUUUGAAGGAGCAAAUGACCCCACUAUCCGAGUUUGAGGACAAACUCUGAGUAAUUUCUUUGAUUAUAUCGAACAAUUGGAUGACUGAGUCACUUUGAGACAGUAGUUCCAUUGCACUGCCUAUUUUUGGUUUUCAGUUUUUUGUUUUCGUUUAAUGUUUGUACCAACCCUGUUGUUGUAGUCAGCAUCCUGUGCCAGUAGUAACGUUUUGUGCGUGCUCAGAAGAUUAUGUAAUGUUAUGUUCUUACUUUGUUGCUUAUGGAACCAUUUCUGCCAUUGCUGGUACAUGCUAUUUUUGAAUUUACUAUACACCCCUUUUUGUGGUUUGUUUCGUGGAUUGGGUAGCUUGUUCUUGUAUAACUUGACUGUUCUGUGUGUUUGCUACAGCUUCAUAUCUCAAUAAUAGAUAGAGGAAAGCAGGCUGAUUCCUACUUUUGAACCUAAUUCUUCUGUUAUGAUAUAGGGAUAAACAUUGCCGAGUGGCCGGACAGGGUGGCAUACUUAAGACCAGUCUUGCUGUAGGAGUUGGCUUGAUUUGCUUUUUCAAUUUUCUCUCGGGAUUCUUGUGUUGUGUAGCAGCAUCAAGUAAAAUUUGAUUGCUUUGUGAUUUUGGAGCACCACUGGAACUUUUAGAUAGUAAAUAACUGUAUUGGCCUUGUAUUUGCAAGUUCCGGAGCAUUUGGCCUUUGAUUUCGCUUAAAGUGGCAUUGCAUUUUCCGUGCGUAACUGGAACUUUUUGGAUGUUGACCAAAGAAGAAAUGGUACCGAAUGGUGGAAGCAUUUGAUGCAUACUGUAUGAAUAUGGUUCGCCUUAUAUGCUCCAAAGCUGGAAGUAGUGUAGAAGGAGAAAAUGGGAGUGAAAAUCGCCAUCCUUUUUAUUACAUGUUAUGUGAUGGAGUCAUGUUCUGGAGAAGAACUUGUAUAUCGCAGGAAUAGGUUUUAAGAUGUAUGGAAUGUGUGGCCAGAACCCAAUACAAUUUUUUUGUUUCGUAAAUUACUCCUACAUAUUUCAACCAAACUUACCCCAUAUGUCAAAAUUAAAAGCAGGCGCUACACGUGGAGGGAGAGUGUGGUCGCAAAUAUGAUAAUUUAGAACUUGAAUGACCCAAAUCAGCUAAAGCAAAGAAUUAUCAAAAUUAGUUUCUCGAAAAAUAUAUCGAAAUUGCAUAUAAAUUGUAUAUUUGAGAAAUAUCAAAGAAACAAACAACACUCAUACUUGUUGCAAAACUUAUUCACAUAGGGAACACCAAAGUUUGGGGUUGGGUUUCCAAAGAACAAUCUUGGGUGAUCAAACAAAAUUCCUCAAUCUAGGUUUUUUAUUUUUUAAAUUUAUUUAUUUAUAUUUUAUUUUAUAGGCUUAAAUUUUUAUAGGAAAAAAAGAAGAAGGCAGAAGUAGAGAAUGGUGGGCCAUGAGAAACUAGAAAAUGGCACAGCGGAGCCCAACCCAUGAAACGAAAACCCUAACCUUAUAUAACACUCACACAUUCCCUUCGGAACCCACAAAUUUUCUCUCAGUCUCGUUCUCUUUUAUAGGCUGCGGAGAAUUCCUCUCUCUCUACCUCGAUUCUUCUUGAGGUUCGUUCAUAUAUCCUCUUUGUUUUAUUCAAUUCAGUGCCUGCCUUUAAUUUUAUAUCUUAUAUUAUUCUUCUGUUUUCUGGUUUCUGUCGCCAUGCUUUUUAUUUCUUCUGAAAAUGGUUGAUCUGCAUGGAUUUUAUUAUUAUUUUAUCUUUUUGUUGAAAAUUCUCGUUAUAUAUGCAUGCUUUUGAUGUUAGAUUGUUUACAUAUUUGUAUUAGAUCCUUGUUCCUUGUGUUGAUCACUGUAAGGCGCCGUUUGUUUCGUCGGAAAAUUGUUACGUGAAAUUUUUUUCUUGGUGUAAAGAUUUUCUGGCGUUUUCUUUGGACGGUUGGAGUUUUCUACGUGAUGUAUUAGAAUAUCGUUGUUUUUCUGAGUAGAUUUGUUGUAUAAUCUAUAUCCUCGUUCGUUUUUCUGUGUUUUUUUUUUGCUGCAAAAUAGUUACACCUACAAAUUUUUCGAUUUGGUAAAUUUUUCUGAUGUUUCCUUGCUACUGUGAAAAAUCAUUACGUGACCAUAUGAGAUUUUCCUCUGUGUUUAUGAAUAAAUGUUAUCUUUUCCAUUAUAUUUUUCCCGGCAAAUAUUUUUCUAAAUGCUAUGAAAUAAUUUUAACACAAUUCGAAGAGAGAAAAUUUCUAUCUACUGUAAUUUGAAUGUGGCUAAUUGCUUGUUUUUCCCAUUGGUAUAUUUUUUAUAUUGCUUGUUUUUCCCUUUUGAAUACCUUCACACAUCCAAACAUGCGAGCCCAUGCAGAGAAGGGAAUACCAUGUGUGAUUAUUUUUUCUGAUUGAAAUCUUUUAUCUUGAUUGUUAAUAAAAUUAUUAUAUUUGAUACAGUAAUAGUUAUCAAAGUAGAGGGUAUUCAUAGAUAUUUACUUGAAUUUCUUGCUUGAAUGUUCAAUUGAACCCUCGGUUCAUUAUCUUUAUGGUUUUAAUUUUCAGGUGGUUCACCUCCGUAUAAUUACAAAUUGGUGGUUUCUCUUAAAUACUUGUCAAGAUGGUAAGUGUAAUCUAUCAAUUUAAGCUUACUGGUUGUUGGGCUGCUCUAUUAAUUUCGUAAUUCUUAAUGGAGAGAUAUUAUUGAUAUGUGCAGGUGAAGUUUACAGCAGAGGAACUCCGUAGGAUUAUGGACUACAAGCAUAACAUUCGCAAUAUGUCCGUUAUUGCACAUGUUGAUCAUGGUAUCGAUAACUUUUUUCACUUGAUAAUUCUUAUAUUUGUAGCAUUAUUUUCACUCACCUGCUCAUAAUGGAGUCGUUAAUAGUGUUCUGUUUGAGUUAAUUUGAGCUGCUUUCUUGUAUCUGGUUGAUUAUGCCCUGCUCAAAUGUAUAAUUGUCCUUUUGCUUUCAAAUUUGCAUUACAUUCUUGUUCAUGUUUCAAUGUCCUGUGUGUUGUUCAUAGCUAUAAUGGUACUGAGUUUUAAUAUGCAGGGAAGUCAACCCUUACCGACUCCCUUGUUGCUGCUGCUGGUAUCAUUGCACAAGAAGUUGCUGGUGAUGUCCGGAUGACAGAUACCCGUGCAGAUGAGGCAGAGCGUGGUAUCACAAUCAAAUCUACUGGUAUCUCUCUCUACUAUGAGAUGACUGAUGAAGCUUUGAAGAGCUACAAGGGGGAGAGAAACGGAAAUGAGUACCUCAUCAAUCUCAUUGAUUCCCCUGGGCACGUUGACUUUUCAUCUGAAGUCACAGCUGCCCUUCGCAUUACUGAUGGUGCACUUGUGGUGGUUGAUUGCAUUGAGGGUGUUUGUGUCCAAACAGAGACUGUGCUUCGUCAAGCCUUGGGAGAAAGGAUCAGGCCUGUUUUGACUGUUAACAAGAUGGACAGGUGCUUCCUUGAGCUCCAGGUCGAUGGAGAGGAGGCUUACCAAGCAUUCCAAAGGGUUAUUGAGAAUGCUAAUGUCAUUAUGGCUACAUACGAAGACCCCCUUCUUGGUGAUGUCCAGGUCUAUCCAGAGAAAGGAACAGUUGCCUUUUCAGCUGGUUUGCAUGGUUGGGCUUUUACUCUGACCAACUUUGCCAAGAUGUAUGCAUCCAAGUUUGGAGUUGAUGAAUCAAAGAUGAUGGAAAGGCUCUGGGGUGAGAACUACUUUGACCCAGCUACCAAGAAAUGGACCAGCAAAAACACUGGUUCUGCUACCUGCAAGCGUGGUUUCGUUCAGUUCUGUUAUGAACCCAUCAAGCAGAUUAUCAACAUCUGCAUGAAUGAUCAGAAGGAGAAGUUGUGGCCCAUGUUGACAAAGCUUGGUGUGACGAUGAAGAGUGAUGAAAAGGAGCUGAUGGGGAAGGCGUUGAUGAAGCGUGUCAUGCAGACCUGGCUACCAGCCAGCAGUGCCCUUUUGGAAAUGAUGAUCUUUCACCUUCCCUCUCCUUCAACUGCCCAGAGAUACCGUGUUGAGAACUUGUACGAGGGUCCCCUUGAUGAUCAAUAUGCAAAUGCUAUCAGGAACUGCGAUCCUGAAGGGCCUCUUAUGCUCUAUGUAUCUAAGAUGAUUCCCGCAUCUGACAAGGGUCGAUUCUUUGCCUUUGGUCGUGUCUUUGCUGGUAAAGUCCAGACAGGUUUGAAGGUUAGAAUCAUGGGUCCAAAUUAUGUUCCUGGAGAGAAGAAGGAUUUGUAUGUUAAGAACGUGCAGAGGACUGUUAUUUGGAUGGGAAAGAAACAAGAAACUGUUGAGGAUGUUCCUUGUGGUAACACUGUUGCCUUGGUCGGUCUUGAUCAGUUUAUCACCAAGAAUGCUACGUUGACAAAUGAGAAGGAAGCGGAUGCUCACCCCAUUCGUGCUAUGAAGUUCUCUGUUUCACCUGUUGUGCGUGUUGCUGUUCAAUGCAAGGUGGCUUCUGACCUUCCCAAACUGGUUGAAGGUCUCAAACGUCUGGCCAAGUCUGAUCCUAUGGUUGUCUGUUCCAUUGAGGAAUCCGGUGAGCAUAUUAUUGCUGGUGCUGGUGAACUUCAUCUUGAGAUUUGUUUGAAGGAUCUACAAGAUGAUUUCAUGGGUGGAGCUGAGAUUAUAAAAUCUGACCCCGUUGUGUCUUUCCGUGAGACUGUCCUGGAGAAGUCUAGUCGUACUGUGAUGAGCAAGUCACCCAACAAGCAUAACCGUCUGUAUAUGGAAGCUCGACCCUUGGAGGAAGGUCUUCCUGAGGCCAUUGAUGAUGGCCGUAUUGGCCCAAGAGAUGAUCCCAANNNNNNNNNNNNNNNNNNNNNNNNNNNNNNNNNNNNNNNNNNNNNNNNNNNNNNNNNNNNNNNNNNNNNNNNNNNNNNNNNNNNNNNNNNNNNNNNNNNNGCAGUAUGUAAAUUUUUUGUCUGGGGGGGGGGGGGGGGGCGGCGGUUGGGGGAGGGGAGUGGAGCUCGGUCAUUUGGCACAUUUCUUGAUCAUUAAUGUGUCUUACUGGACUGCAGGGACGUGGAUUUGACAGAGAAAUUAGACUACUCAUCUGCAGUGGCAAUACUUGGGUACUCGCUCAUUCUGUCCAUACUAAGAAGUUUUGAUGUGAAGGAUGAUGCUGUCAGAGUGNNNNNNNNNNNNNNNNNNNNNNNNNNNNNNNNNNNNNNNNNNNNNNNNNNNNNNNNNNNNNNNNNNNNNNNNNNNNNNNNNNNNNNNNNNNNNNNNNNNNUUUUUUCUUUUUCGUUAACAUAUAUAGUUGGAGAGAGAGAGAGAGCAGUGACCUAUAUAUAGUUUAUUUACUUGAAUAGCAGUGACCGUGGAUCACAUAGGUGCUACGCUACCUGUUACUCCAAGAAUGUAAGCUAGUAGGAAGUGACAAGUGCUGGAUGAUAUCUGUUUCUCAACAUUCAAACUGACCAUGCCCGUGAAUUAAUUUUUUAUAUUAGAUGGAAAGUCUUUAUAUUGGACAUGAAAUAUCUUGCUUUGAUUUCACUAUAGAUCACUGAUUAUCCUAGAAAGUUGAAGUGUUAGGAAAUGCAUAAUUUCCUUUAUUUGGACAACUGAUGGGUUGUCUUCUCUCUUUCUGUGACAUAAUUUCCUAGUUUUCAUGAUAACAAUCUGACUUAAUUAAUCAACACAUUGCAGGGUGGAACAUGCAAGUUUGUGUUGUCAUGGCAGUAGUACAACUUCUUGUUUGGGCGAUUUGGGCUGGUGUCACUCGCCAUCCAUCACGUUGGAAGCUGUGGCUGGUAGUAGUGGCAGGUGGCCUUGCAAUGCUCCUAGAAAUUUAUGAUUUCCCUCCAUAUCAAGGGUUUGUGGAUGCUCAUGCGGCCUGGCACGCCACCACUAUUCCCCUAACUUACGUUUGGUGGAGUUUCAUCAGAGAUGAUGCCGAGUUCCUAACCUCGAACCAAAUGAAGAGGAUGAAAACCUCUAACCUUGCAAAGAAGGCAAAAUAGUUGUUUCUAUAUGGUAUGACCCUGUGAUGCUUGAGCACGUAGCCCUUGUCUCCAUUAGCUACUGGAAAUUGCAGUUUCCCCCCUUUUUCUUCAGUCUAUCUGUAUUGCAAAUUGUGACAGUUGCGUUAGGGUACUGAUGCACAAAAAAGACCAUCAGAAGACCUUUAUUUAUUUAUUUAUAUUUUAUUUAUCUCAUCUUUUAGCAAUACUUCACCUAUUCACAAUAAAUGGUCACUCCAUCUAUCGCCAGCAACACAACCAGAUUAAGAAAUGAACAUUGAAACCUUAACCAGCAACAUAGCACAUAAGCUAAAGUGGGAAAAAUGCAUUCAGACCCACACACACACACAAAAAAAAAAAAAAAAAAAAAAACCAAGAAAUCUUGAAAUUGUGAAAAAACAAAACAAUAAAUACCAAAGAGAGAAAAAAUUCUAAUUUCUCACUCUUCCAUUGAAGACAAAUUACUUCAUAUUUAAAAUUUAGUGGGUUUUGGGUUAAGGUUGGCAUUCAUAAUUCUUUUCAUUUUUCUUGGAUUGCUUGAAGUUGUUUGGGUGCUCUGAUCUUAUUUGCCUGGAGUUCGAUCAUAUCUUAUCUCGACCUAUUUUCAUGGUUAAUAUCUUUAUAUUUAACACCAAACAACAAAUAUAAAAAGAGUUUUAGUACAAAAACAAGACAGUCUCGUAAAUUGUAGAAGGAAAAUUAGAGAGAGAAAAAGAAUUAGGGAAGGAACAGAUGGACGAUCACUCAAAUUUUAGGGAAAACUUGCAGAGAAGGGAAAAGAAGAAGGAAAAAGAACACUUAGACAUGUUAGAGACGUUAGGUUGGAGUAAUUGGAGUUAGUCAACUUAUGGUGAUUUAUUUUUAUUUUUUAAUUAAGUGUAAAUUGGGUUUUUUAUUUUGUGGAUGAUGUGUCCGGCUUACAUCCCUUAGAUUAAAUUUUAAUGAGGUAUCAUGUGGAGAACGAAAGUAAAGUAGAUCAUAACAGAGAAAAUCAUAGCAGAGGAUUCGGAUCCUUAUAACAUAUGUAUUAGGUUUAAAUGCACCAUCGUAUUAUAAUUUGAAUGAACUUUUAACAUUAUGUAAAUCUGUUGCGCAAUGUUACUAUUACACCUAAAAAUUACUCGUUGAUAACGUUUGAAUGUGAACUUUCCCCUUUUUUAGAGUUUUUGCUGUGUUUACCUCCAUUGAAAAUAGAUUAAAUCAAUCAUUUAAGUUGAGUUUAUUUUAUUAACUUUGUGUUGGCCUUGACAAGUUGAAAAUUUCAAGAUUAUUUUCAAUCUCAAGACGAGUUUCAUUGGACAUUGUUUUUUUAUAAUCCAGACUGGACCUUUGGCCCAUUUACAAAGCAAAGCCCAACCCAGNNNNNNNNNNNNNNNNNNNNNNNNNNNNNNNNNNNNNNNNNNNNNNNNNNNNNNNNNNNNNNNNNNNNNNNNNNNNNNNNNNNNNNNNNNNNNNNNNNNNCAACCGCAUAUACCUCGGUCUUACUAUUUUAUUCUCUCUCAGCUCCUUUUGUAUAUAAAGGAGAAGUCUGAGAUUCCACCUCCAUUUUCUUUCGCCUGCCGCCUCGCUUGCUGCUUGUCACCUGGUUCGCUCUCUCUCUCUCUCUCUCUCUCUCUCUCUCUCUCUACUAUAUUUAGAUCUGAAGCUUCUAAGCUGAAGCUUGCUUUGAAGUAAUUAGCUUGCUUGCUUAUUUCAAUUAAAUGAUUCUCGUACCUGUUUUACGAUUUUUCUGGCUUAAGAUCUGUAAUUAGACGGUCAAAGUAGUAUAAUCUUUUGUACUAUAUGAUUUGAAAUGGAUUAGAUUGAAUUUUCUUUUGCUUAGUUGCUGCUCAUAUAAUUUAGCCGACUUUUUUAUUCAUUCUUUUUUAGCUUUUUUUUUCAAAUAACCCAUAUCAAAUUUAAACGAAGAUCGUAUAGAUAUGGAUGCAUACACACAUACCAGAUUUAAACAAGUAUCUUAUAUAUUUACUUGCAUAAACACAUAUGUAUGUAUCAAAAUACCUGCAAAAUUACUUUCUUACUAUGCUUUUGGAUUUCCUUUAAUUGGUGGGGAAUUUUGUAACUGUUAUGGCUCUUGUUACUUUGUUCUUGUUCAUUUAUCUAAUUAUGAUGGUUUUACUAUUUUUGUGGACAGAUACUAAUUAUAUUUUUGGAGGUGACAUUUGAAGACUAGUCAAGAUGGUAAGAUACUUGUUUCAUCAGUUCAGUGGGUUGCUGGGAAACUACAUUAUUUCCUUAAUUUUAAUUGAGUUAUAUUUUUCAUAUGUACAGGUGAAGUUCACAGCUGAGGAGCUCCGUAGGAUUAUGGACUACAAACACAACAUUCGUAACAUGUCUGUUAUUGCGCAUGUUGAUCACGGUAUAUAUAAUGUUACUUAUUUGGCUUACCAAAUAUCAAUCUGAAAUGAUGUUUUGUUUACAAGUAUAGAGCAUUUAUACUGGCUUUAAAUGAUUGUAUCUGUUCCCAAGCUUGAAUAUCAUAAUUAUCAAUUAUGGUUUCAAGGCGCAGCUAAAGGAGUGGCUGAAUUUUUAUGUAUAAGUAGGAUAUUAAUGCAAUUGNNNNNNNNNNNNNNNNNNNNNNNNNNNNNNNNNNNNNNNNNNNNNNNNNNNNNNNNNNNNNNNNNNNNNNNNNNNNNNNNNNNNNNNNNNNNNNNNNNNNNNNNNNNNNNNUAAAAUUUUCCUCCUCUCAGGGAAGUCAACCCUUACCGACUCCCUUGUUGCUGCUGCUGGUAUCAUUGCACAAGAAGUUGCUGGUGAUGUCCGGAUGACAGAUACCCGUGCAGAUGAGGCAGAGCGUGGUAUCACAAUCAAAUCUACUGGUAUCUCUCUCUACUAUGAGAUGACUGAUGAAGCUUUGAAGAGCUACAAGGGGGAGAGAAACGGAAAUGAGUACCUCAUCAAUCUCAUUGAUUCCCCUGGGCACGUUGACUUUUCAUCUGAAGUCACAGCUGCCCUUCGCAUUACUGAUGGUGCACUUGUGGUGGUUGAUUGCAUUGAGGGUGUUUGUGUCCAAACAGAGACUGUGCUUCGUCAAGCCUUGGGAGAAAGGAUCAGGCCUGUUUUGACUGUUAACAAGAUGGACAGGUGCUUCCUUGAGCUCCAGGUCGAUGGAGAGGAGGCUUACCAAGCAUUCCAAAGGGUUAUUGAGAAUGCUAAUGUCAUUAUGGCUACAUACGAAGACCCC
rnacentral:lncRNA from 1 species